rnacentral:lncRNA from 1 species
CACAGGUGUGUCUAAACAAUUUUAAGAACUAUGAAAGGGAUGUCAUAAUCAUAGUCUUGAUUGUUUAGACCUUUGACACUUCUCACAAGUCCAUGUUAGUGUGCCGGUAAACCACACACGCUCCACUAACGACUUUGAGAAUGAAAAUAUCACAAUUGCUAUCUAGCUAAAAUCUACUUAGUGAAAGUGUUUCCUCACCAUCAUUUUCAUGAAUCGGAGAGAAACCUUAUGAAACUUAGAUUUAAUGGUGUGUGUGUCCUUAUCCAUGUGAAUUGUCAAAACCAUAGUCACAAGACAAGGAUAAUGACAAAUCCAAACACAUAUGGACUGAACUCAAUCUUAAUUUAUUGCCACCUGGCAGCUCAAGGGCCUGCCAUUGCUUCCAAGUUGUUAUGCAACCAAUUGAGAACUCUAAGAACUCAUAUGCAAAGCCAACUUUAAUUGGAAUGGGCACUGAAUAUGUCAACACGAUAGCUUAUAAACCUCAAGUCGUGUUCUAGUGAAGAACUUCAGGUUUUAUUCUUGAUUAGAUCUUGAAAUUCUUUUCAGGAUCUUUAAGACUCUCACUGUCCUCUUGACAUAUAAGACUAUCUUGUCAAAUAUUCAGUUGAUAGUACGUUCUUUAUCAAGACACAUACUUCACACAAUUGGCCUUAGUUGAUCUUUGUUUUAUCCAAAACAUCACAACUUACCUAUUUCAAAUGUACAAGAGUAGAAAACUUUUACUCUUACAUUUGAUGUGCCAACCCAAAUUAAAUUCCGUUACAUAAUCCCGUUUUAACUAACGGAAUUCGUCGCUUUAUAAAAGUUCCGUAAUAUUUGGAGUCGCCAAUAAAUAAAUAUUUAUUUAUUUAUUUAUUUAUUUAUAUUUCAUGUCAUUAUUAUUUAGUAUAAGUAAAUAUAACUUGUUAAUGUGAAUCUCGUUAAACAAAAUAAAGUUAUAUUACCUUUCAACCACUUCACCCGGGUAAAAAGUUUAAACCCCGUUAAACUUUAGCAUCGGGUAGUCGUGUCCCGGGUGCAAUACUCGAGGCAUAUAUAAAGGAGGUGAAUACCACCUUGCAUCCUUUUUACCACCCCCACACUCUCUCUCACUACUUUCUCUCUCUAGACCCGAUUUCGACUCCAAAACCGCGAUUUUCGGCUUCCAAAUGUAAGAUUUUCCUUCCUAACUUGUUCUAAACAUACAUAAUUGUAUUUAUAACUCAAAAAUCAUAUGAUUGGGGGUAAACAAGGAGUUUAUGGCCUAAGAAGCUCCUUAGGCCGUAAACACCCCAAAACAUGGCCAAGGUCCCAUUUUUCCUUCCUUUAGGCUUGUGUACUAAUUAAGGAAAUUACCUAAGAGGGUUUGGACAUCAAAACACAAGUUUUUAGGGCACAAAAGAGGGUUUACGGCCCAAGCAUAUGCUUAGGCCGUAAACACCCAUUUUCCAUGAGAAAUGGCCCCAAAAACUCAUCCAAGGCAUGUUAGAAUUAAGAUAUGAUUUUAGGAAAUGCUUAGGGCCAUUAAACAACACAUUUUGAGGGAUAAUAUAGAGUUUACGGCCCAAGCAUAAUCUAGGAUCGUAAACUCCCCCAAACAACACCAAAUGAAGGUUUAAACCCCCAAAUUGUUCCUAAACACUCACUAGAAAUUAUAUGGGAUUGAUUUAAGGGCCUUAGCUUUUUUGGGAGUGAACAAGAGUUCACGGCCAAGCCUAGGGGCUUACGGCCGUAAACUCCCAAGGAGUGGACUCUGGGCUGUAAACUCCAAGGGAGUAAACUCUUGGACUCCCCCGUAACUCCUAUUUGGCCUUGUACAAUUCCCGAGAACCACUUCUAAGCCCUAAGGCCCUGAAUCAAUGCUAGAAUAUCUAAAUGUUUUAAUAAAAAGCAUCAAAUGACUAAUUUCUUGUAAAACACAUAUUCCAUAUGUUAAUAGGGUCUUAAAAGGGUGUACAAGUCCUUAUUUGGUACCAAACACUCAACCGACACUUUCACUCGAUUUACCCGCUUUACUCGGUUUCUGGUGAGUUCAUACCCCUUAAUGAACUUUUCUAAUGUUUUCAUAUGUUUUAGGGGGGGGGGACACAAGUCAAUUAUACAUUUUUAUGAAAACCAAUCGCAUGUGAUUUACUACCCGUAGUUCAAAUCACAUGUGAUUUAUCACUAUGCUUUAUAAAAGAACUUUACGCUUUCAAAACUACUUUGGAAAAAUAAACUAUUUUCUAAAUCUUUUCUUUAGUCAAGAUUUUUAAUAAAUUACUUUUCUUAUAAAAUGUAUCUACACUAAUAUAUUUAUAUAAGUAAGACUUGAAGGGCUUAGGACCGAUAGCUCGCCUUAUUUCCUGUUCUUGUUUGAUGUGGGCUUAGGGUUUUUGUUAUCCGUCCGACUGUCAUUGAUUUCUUAGUUAUAUAUCAUGUAUAUCAGUGUUAGAUACGAGCAUUUUUAUCUCAUUCGUUACCUAUAUUACUUAACUGCCAAGAACCAUACACACUAAGUUAACUAUAAUAGGUAUAGUUAAGGUCGCUACUACUUGUCACCGCUACUACUGUACAUAUUAUAGUUCAUACUAUUACAAAACAAUACACUAAUAAGAGAACACACUAUGAACGAUAUAAAAGACUACUACACUAUAUUACAAGAGAAAACACUAAUCUGGAAGAUAACACACUAACUCUCUACAAGAUACUCUACGCGCUACAUAUUGUGACCAGAGCUUUCCGGAAGGAAGGCGACGCUACAUGUAUAGAUCUAUACAGAGCUGACACUAUUAGAUCCCGACUGUUAACUUCAGUCCGAGCCGAGCAAGCCCAGGGAUGGCACUACUUCUCUACACUGUGCAUGACCGGGAAGGUCAUGGGAUUCCUCUAUUACUCACACUAUUGGUCACAUGAAAAGGAAUACACUGCAUCCACACUAAAAUACUAAGACUAAAGUCUCAGUUAAUAUCCCGAAGUAAAAUAAGUAUCUAUUACUAGUGGAAGUUCGCACCACUAUCACUGUCAACAGGCAUAACUUUUCUUUUACCUACACUAUAUACUGGAGAUUUAGUACCUCACUUUUACAACAAACUGUUUUCAAUGAUAAAACUUACAUUCAACUUAGAGUUUUCACUUACGAUGUAUUUUCUGGAAAAUAUAGGAUUUUCUAGAGUUUUCUACUACUUAUAAAUGUAAAUUGCAGUUUUUCACACUAUAUGUUCUAAUACAUUUUAUACAAAAUUCACACUAAAUUCUUAUGAACUCACCAGCUUUAUGCUGAUACUCGUUUUCAAAAUAACUUGUAUCCUCAGGUCAAAGAUAGACAGGUACAGGUGCAGCAUUUUGGAGAAGAUGGAGCAUACAAGAUCCAUCUCUUAUUUUUGUAUUACUUUUGGUGUCUAUUGAAACUUUACAGAACACACUUGUAAUUAAACUCACUAUGUAAUGAAAUGGUUGNUACUAUUAUGCAAUUGUGAUGAUACUGUUCACUACGUCAUCCACCCUGAAACGUAUUCCGCCGUUAUCGGUUUUGGGGUGUGACAGAUUGGUAUCAGAGCAUUGUUUAUAGUGAAUCAAGUAUAUCAACCUAUAAAAGAUAUACGAACUAUAAACACUUCGGGACUAAAACACUCUGACCAAGAAUAUAUACUGUUAAGUAUUUAAAAGAUUUAACUAAGUAUAUAUACGCACACCUCUAUAAAACACAGAAGUCAGUAUCGCACUAGAACAGAACAAAAGUAUUAAGAUUGUUGGACAACACAAUUGGGCUUAGAGACAUAUAGUCACAGCUGGGGGAAUGUAGCCUAAUCAACUACAUUUUUCUGGGAGUGACUAGCAUGUGCCUAAGUUUGGUUAUGGCGUUGCAACAAGUGUAAAACUUACCAAUACUACCACAAUAACGUUAGAACAAGAAUACUAUAGGAGUAUUAUAUAUACCACUAACUACAUAUGUGAUAACUAAAAGGAUCGUUACUGGUAGGACAAUAGUUGCUAAGUGGAUACACCACGGUUACAUGCGACUAGGGCGCUAUAGACUCAGAAUCUGUGGCCUUUGCUUCAUUCCCUGUUCUUGUUUGAUUGGGGGUCUGAAGUUAGGAUUGCUUAUUCAAAGGACUAUCUUGCUUCGGUUACAUGUAAUCGGUAUGCACUACGCAAGUAUUGGGUCGACUAAUAACGAUUCAUCUUAUAAGUAUCUUAGAGUAGUACGUCUAUUAAUCUUCCUUUCCCCUUUUCUCGCAUAGAUAUCAUGGCUGGCUUCCCCCUUCCCGACGAUCCGUACUACCCAAACCAGGGCAAUGGAGGAUGGCUCGACGAAGAGUCGGACGAUGAUCACCAGAUCCCUCUGGAUGACCACCGAGCAGAAGGCUUUUCGGAUAGCUCCGACUCUGAGCUAGAAGUUAACAACCUACCUUCUGAAGCUCCGAACCCCAACGACAUUUCAGGGUCACACUCCCCUGUGGGCAAUAUCCUUGAAUCGAUGGAGUGAGGAGUAGGUCCAGCCUUUACUUUACAAUGGAGACUGAAGCUUCUACAACAUAAGCGAAGGAGGAUCAGCGGACCGAGUUCUGCCCAUCAUGGUCCGAAGGAUUGCCAGGAAUGUCGAGCAGGGUCAAGUAGCCAUUGGUCGAGUUCUAGAAGUGGAUGCCAACUCGAAUCUCAACACUGUUCGCAUCCGCCAACUUGAAGAAGCCAUGGACAGGACAAGGAGGACCAACGAGGCUCUGCAGCAUCAGCUAACUGCAUCCCGAGCCAAAGUUAGGGAUCUCCAAGAAUGCCAAAGGACUCAUGAACGACACCUUCAAGAAGUUAUGUGUCAGCUAGAGGAUCUGAGGAUUCGCCCAACAAGUAACCGUCGCCAGUAGAAGACGUCUAGUUACCUCACUCUUUUGUUUAAAGGACUAGCCUUCCAUGUCUAUGUUUCGUAUAUCACUUGUCUGUAAACAUUCCUAGCUUAAAAGUACUCUAAGUAGGCCUCUAGACUGCCAACAUUUUCCUUAUGGUUUGAUGUAAGACCUAUUGUUAGGUCACUUUUUACGAACUUGUAUUACAUCAUUAAUACCAGUAAAUUGGCAGUUAACUACUCUAUUACUAUGACUCUCAUUCUGAUCCUUGGAUUAUGUUGAUUUAAUUCAUGAAACACUCUAUUCAUAUUCACAAUAGACUCUUACUAUUGCUAUCAUUUCUAUGUUCUUCCAGUGAAAGAUGCAUCCACGAAAGCGUCCGAACAGAGGAAGACCAGCAACUCAAACCCCUCCUCCACCACCUCCUCCUCCGCAGUUCGAUCCAGUGUUGUUCCAAACGGUUGUGACUGCGGCUGUAACAGCAGCCAUGGCUCAAACGAACUCUGGUGAUGUGAGCGGUGGCAACUCUAUAUUUGGUGAAGUCCAUCAAAGAGUGCAGGGAUGCACUUAUAAGGACUUCAUGAACUGCAAACCUACCUUCUUCGAUGGUACCGGAGGAAUUCUGGCAUUGUCUCAAUGGUUCGAAAGAACCGAAGCUGUCUUUGAAAUGUGCUCUUGCCCCAAAGAGAGCAAAAUCAAGUUCGCUACUGCCACCCUCACUAACAGAGCCUUGACAUGGUGGAACGACCAUGUCAGUGCACUCUCCUUGGUAACAGCCAAUGCCAUGGGCUGGGAUACUCUGAAAGACCUCAUGAGAGGGUGUGCUGCCCUAGGGGCGAAGUUCAGAAACUUGAGGAGGAACUCUGGAACCUCAAGAUGAAAGGGACUGACAUAACAGCUUACACGGCCAGGUUCUGCGACUUGGCGGCUAUGUGUCCCAACAUGAUCCCAUCUGAAAGCAAAAAGAUCGAACGAUACAUCUGGGGUCUAAUGCCCCCGUAUCGAGGAAAUGUUCUAGCCUCACGCCCUACCACCUUCGACAGCGCCAAGGAAUUGGCCCAGAGUCUGAUCAACCAUGAAGUCUCUUCCACUCCAGCAACAGCAACCCCAGCUACCACUGCACCACCCGAUUCAUCUGACAGAAAGAGGAAGUGUAUGGAUAAGAAGAAAGGCAUGAAAACUCAAACCUCCUCCAAGGACCAGCAAAUUGUGGCGGUCCAUGCUGCCACCACUCCAGCCGCACCUGCACCGACAAAAGCUUAUGUUGGGAACCUGCCCAAGUGUCCUAAGUGCCCUUUCCACCACAACGGCCCCUGCCGUGAAUUGCAGUGUUCCAACUACGGCCGGAAGGGCCAUACUGUCCGAUUUUGUAGGGCCCCUCCCAAACCUAUCUCGCAAGUUUCAGGUUCGGGAGUGACCCAGACUUGUUACGGCUGCGGUGAAGCUGGCCAUUUCAAGAAAAACUAUCCAAAGGCUGGGAAUGCUGGGGGAACUGGAAGAUUACUCGCUAUUGGUCACACUGAAGCAGUGGCGGAUCCCACAGUAGUCACGGGUACGUUUCUUCUUAACAACUCUUACACAUGUGUCUUAUUCGAUAGUGGUGCAGAAAGAAGGUUCAUAAACCAAAACUUUAAACACCUACUUAAACAAUCCCCACAACCACUAAAAGAAACAUUCGUCGUAGAAAUGGCUAACGGGAAGACCGAAAGCUCUAACGAAAUAUACAUAGGUUGUACCCUCACGUUAGACGAUCACUCAUUUCCAAUUGAUCUUAUACCAGUCUCAAUCAAGAAUUUUGAUGUCAUUGUUGGUAUGGACUAGUUGAGUAUUCAUCGCGCCGAAAUCCUAUGCUUCGACAAAGCCAUACGCCUGAAUCUUCCAAGUCACUAAACCCUAUUGAUCUAUGGAGAUAAACCCAGUAUGGGCCUUCGUAUCAUCUCCAGUAUUCAGGCCCAUAAAUAUUUGCAUAAGGAAUAUCGCGCCUUUCUGGCUCACGUCGUCGACACAAGUCAGAAAGUGAAAGAUUCAAAAGACAUCCCCGUUAUAUGCAAUUUCCCUUACGUCUUCCCAGAGGAUCUUCCAGGUCUACCUCCCAAACGUCAGGUUGAGUUCAGAAUCGACCUAGUCCCAGGAGCUACCCCCAUAGCUAAGUCGCCCUAUCGUCUAGCGCCUACCGAGAUGCAAGAACUAUCCGGUCAACGAGCUGCUCAACAAGGGUUUUAUAAGACCAAGCUUCUCACCUUGGGGAGCUCCGGUCUUGUUCGUGAAGAAGAAGGACGGAUCGUUUCGUAUAUGCAUCGAUUAUAGGGAACUCAACAAACUCACGGUCAAAAAUCGCUAUCCUCUCCCUCGUAUCGACGACCUAUUCGACCAACUACAAGGANACUGCUCCAAUUGAUCUUAGGUCCGGGUAUCACCAGUUACGGGUAUUAGAGGAAGAUGUUCCGAAGACAUCUUUCCGAACCCGUUACGGGCACUUCGAGUUCGUAGUGAUGCCCUUUGGACUGACUAACGCCCCCGCAGUAUUCAUAGACUUGAUGAAUAGGGUGUGUCGUCCAUAUCUAGAUCAGUUCGUCAUCGUCUUUAUUGAUGACAUACUCGUCUACUCUCGAAGCGAGGAAGAACACAAGGAUCAUUUACGACGAGUCCUAGAAACCCUACUGUCAGAGAAGUUAUAUGCGAAGUUCUCUAAGUGCGAAUUUUGGAUCCUAAGAGUUGAAUUCUUAGGACACGUGGUUAGUGAAGAAGGAAUCCACGUGGACCCCUCCAAAAUUAAAGCUAUUGAGAACUGGUCAGCACCGAAGACGCCUACAGAAAUUCGUCAAUUUCUAGGCCUUGCUGGCUACUACCGCAGAUUCAUCCAAAACUUCUCUCGGAUUGCGAAGCCUCUCACCAUGUUGACACAGAAGGGCAUAUCAUUCGACUAGGAAGAGAAACAGGAGAAGACAUUCCAGACCCUGAAGCGAGCCUUAUGCACUGCACCAAUAUUAUCCCUUCCCGAAGGAACAGAAGAUUUUGUUGUGUACUGUGAUGCAUCCAAUCAGGGGCUCGGUUGUGUCUUGAUGCAACGAGGUAAAGUCAUCGCCUAUGCCUCAAGACAGCUAAAGACACAUGAGGUGAACUACACUACUCACGACCUCGAGUUAGGAGCGGUCGUAUUCGCACUAAAAGUCUGGAGACACUACUUGUAUGGAACGAAGAGCGUAGUGUACACUGAUCAUAAAAGCCUCCAACACAUGCUGGACCAGAAAGAGCUCAAUAUGAGACAACGCCGAUGGGUCGAACUACUCAACGAUUAUGAUUGCGAAAUUCGAUAUCACCCGGGGAAAGACAACGUGGUAGCUGACGCCCUGAGUAGGAAGGAGUAUUCUGGUUGAAGAACCAAGUCGUUGACAAUGACUAUCCAUUCGCAUCUAUCCGCACAGAUCAAGGAGGCUCAGCUGGAAGCCUUGAAGCCUGAGAAUGUGACGGGAGAAUCCCUACGUGGAAUGGGUAAAAGUUUGGAGGUCAAGGGUGAUGGAGCCUACUACCUCAUGGACCGAAUCUGGACUCCGCGCCACGGAGGUUUCAGAGAGGUGGUCAUGAAGUAAGCACACAACACUCGAUACUCCGUCCACCCAGGUUCGGAUAAGAUGUAUCUGGAUCUCAAGAAGCUAUACUGGUGGCCUAACUUGAAAGUGGAGAUCGCUACCUUCGUGAGUAAGUGCCUUACUUGUGCAAACGUCAAGGUCGAAUAUCAUAAGCCAUCGGGACUCCUCCAACAUCCGGAGAUACAGGAAUGGAAGUGGGAGCGGAUUACAAUGGACUUUAUAACCAAGCUGCCCAAGACAACGGGUGGGUUGGAUACCAUUUGGGUCAUCGUCGACAGAUUGACUAAGUCUGCACACUUCCUACCCAUUAAGGAAACGGACAAGAUGGAGAAGCUCACAAGAACAUACCUUAAGGAAAUAGUACGGCUGCAUGGCGUCCCUAUAUCUAUUAUCUCAGACAGAGAUAGUAGAUUUACCUCGAGAUUUUGGCAAUCACUACAAAAGGCACUAGGGACGAGGCUGGACAUGAGUACAACCUACCAUCCGCAGACUGAUGGACAAAGUGAGAGGACGAUCCAAACUUUAGAAGAUAUGUUGCAAGACUGUGUGAUCGACUUUGGUAAAUCGUGAGAUACACACCUACCUCUUGUGGAUUUUUCCUACAACAAUAGUUAUCAUACGAGCAUCAAAGCAGCUCCAUUUGAAGCCCUCUACGGCAGGAAGUGCAGAUCCCCUUUGUGCUGGGCUGAGGUGGGUGACACUCAGUUAGCUAAAGGACGAGUUCCUGAUAGCGCUCUCACUGGUCCGGAGAUCAUUCGAGAAACGACCGAGAAGAUUGUUCAAAUUUACGAACGAUUAAAAGCCGUUAGGGAUCGACAGAAAAGCUACGCAGACAAGCGAAGAAAACCCUUGGAAUUCUAGGUGGGAGACCGAGUCCUUUUGAAGGUCUCGCCCUGGAAGUGCACGAUACGCUUCGGAAAGCGUGGAAAGCUGAACCCAAGGUACAUAGGGCCUUUGGAGAUUCUCGCCAGAAUCGGCCCCGUAGCUUACAAACUCAACUUACCCCACGAGCUAAGUAACAUACAUCCUACAUUCCAUGUCUCAAACUUGAAGAAAUGUCUGUCCAACGAGACUCUCAUAAUUCCCCUCGACGAGAUCGAGGUCAAUGACAGCCUCAACUUCGUGGAAGAGCCUGCGGAGAUUAUGGAUCGGGAAGUAAAACGAACGAAACAAAGCCGCAUCCCAAUUAUGAAGGUUCGGUGGAACGCCAAGCAGGGACCGGAAUUCACUUGGGAGCGCGAGGAUCAGAUGAAACUCAAAUAUCCCCAUCUUUUUGCAUAGUAGUUCAGUAAUGACUCUCUGUAUGAAUUCAAAAUUUUGGGACGAAAUUCCCCUAACGGAGGGAUGAUGUGACAACCCAAAUUAAAUUCCAUUACAUAAUCCUGUUUUAAGUAAUGAAAUUCGUCGCUUUAUAAAAGUUCCGUAAUAUUUGGAGUCGCCAAUAAAUAAAUAUUUAUUUAUUUAUAUUUCAUGUCAUUAUUAUUCAGUAUAAGUAAAUAUAACUUGUUAAUGUUAAUCUCAUUAAACGAAAUAAAGUUAUAUUACCUUUCAACCACUUCACCCGGGUAAAAAGUUUAAACCCCGUUAAACUUUAGCAUCGGGUAGUCGUGUACCGGGUGUAAUACCCGAGGCAUAUAUAAAGGAGAUGAAUACCACCUUGCAUCCUUUUUACCACCCACACACUCUAUCUCACUACUUUCUCUCUCUAGACCCGAUUUCGACUCCAAAACCGCGAUUUCCGGCUUCCAAACGUAAGAUUUUCCUUCCUAACUUGUUCUAAACAUACAUAAUUGUAUUUAUAACUCAAAAAUCAUAUGAUUGGGGGGUAAACAAGGAGUUUACGACCUAAGAAGCUCCUUAGGCCGUAAACACCCCAAAACAUGGCCAAGGUCCCAUUUUUCCUUCCUUUAGGCUUGUGUACUAAUUAAGGAAAUUAUCUAAGAUGGUUUGGACAUCAAAACACAAGUUUUUAGGGCACAAAAGAGGGUUUACGGCCCAAGCAUAUGCUUAGGCCGUAAACACCCAUUUUCCAUGAGAAAUGGCCCCAAAAACUCAUCCAAGGCAUGUUAGAAUUAAGAUAUGAUUUUAGGAAAUGCUUAGGGCCAUUAAACAACACAUUUUGAGGGAUAAUAUAGAGUUUAUGGCCCAAGCAUAAGCUAGGACCGUAAACUCCCCCAAACUACACCAAAUGAAGGUUUAAACCCCCAAAUUGGUCCUAGACACUCACUAGAAAUUAUAUGGGAUUGAUUUAAGGACCUUAGCAUCCAUUUUUGGGAGUGAACAAGAGUUCACGGCCAAGCCUAGGGGCUUACGGCCGUAAACUCCAAGGAAGUAAACUCUUGGACUCCCCCGUAACUCCUUUUUGGCCUUGUACAAUUCCCGAGAACCACUUCUAAGCCCUAAGACCCCGAAUCAAUGCUAGAAUAUCUAAAUGUUUUAAUAAAAAGAAUCAAAUGACUAAUUUCUUGUAAAACACAUAUUCCAUAUGUUAAUAGGGUCUUAAAAGGGUGUACAAGUCCUUAUUUGGUACCAAACACUCAACCGACACUUUCACUCGAUUUACCCGAUUUACUCGGUUUCUGGUGAGUUCAUACCCCUUAAUGAACUUUUCUAAUGUUUUCAUAUGUUUUAGGGGGGGGGGACACAAGUCAAUUAUACAUUUUUAUGAAAACCAAUCACAUGUGAUUUACUACCCGUAGUUCAAAUCACAUGUGAUUUAUCACUAUGCUUUAUAAAAGAACUUUACGCUUUCAAAACUACUUUGGAAAAAUAAACUAUUUUCUAAAUGUUUUCUUUAGUCAAGAUUUUUAAUGAAUUAAUUUUCUUAUAAAAUAUAUCUAUACUAAUAUAUUUAUAUAAGUAAGACUUGAAGGGCUUAGGACCGAUAGCUCGCCUUAUUUCCUGUUCUUGUUUGAUGUGGGCUUAGGGUUUUUGUUAUCCGUCCGAAUGUCAUUGAUUUCUUAGUUAUAUAUCAUGUAUAUCAGUGUUAGAUACGAGCAUUUUUAUCUCAUUCGUUACCUAUAUUACUUAACUGCCAAGAACCAUACACACUAAGUUAACUAUAAUAGGUAUAGUUAAGGUCGCUACUACUUGUCACCGCUACUACUAUACAUACUAUAGUUCAUAUUAUUACAAAACGAUACACUAAUAAGAGAACACACUAUGAACUAUAUAAAAGACUACUACACUAUAUUACAAGAGAAAACACUAAUCUGGAAGAUAACACACUAACUGUCUACAAGAUACUCUACGCGCUACAUAUUAUGACCAGAGCUUUCCGGAAGGAAGGCGACGCUACAUGUAUAGAUCUAUACGGAGCAGACACUAUUAGAUCCCGACUGUUAACUUCAGUCCGAGCCGAGCAAGCCCAGGGAUGGCACUACUUCUCUACAUUGUGCAUGACCGGGAAGGUAAUGGGAUUCCUCUAUUACUCACACUAUUGGUCACAUGAAAAGGAAUACACUGCAUCCACACUAAAAUACUAAGACUAAAGUCUCAGUUAAUAUCCCGAAGUAAAAUAAGUAUCUAUUACUAGUGGAAGUUCACACCACUAUCAUUGUCAACAGGCAUAACUUUUCUUUUACCUACACUAUAUACUGGAUAUUUAGUACCUCACUUUUACAACAAACUGUUUUCAAUGAUAAAACUUACAUUCAACUUAGAGUUUUCACUUACGAUGUAUUUUCUGGAAAAUAUAGGAUUUUCUAGAGUUUUCUACUACUUAUAAAUGUAAAUUGCAGUUUUUCACACUAUAUGUUCUAAUACAUUUUAUACAAAAUUCACACUAAAUUCUUAUGAACUCACCAGCUUUAUGCUGAUACUCGUUUUCAAAAUAACUUGUAUCCUCAGGUCAAAGAUAGACAGGUACAGGUGCAGCAUUUUGGAGAAGAUGGAGCAUACAAGAUCCAUCUCUUAUUUUUGUAUUACUUUUGGUGUCUAUUGAAACUUUACAGAACACACUUGUAAUUAAACUCACUAUGUAAUGAAAUGGUUGUAUGUUUCUUGUUUUUACUAUUAUGCAAUUGUGAUGAUACUGUACAUGACGUCCUCCACCCCGAAACGUAUUCCGCUGUUAUCGGUUUUGGGGUGUGACAUUUGACAAAUGUUUUAAACCUUCUCUUAGACAUGUCACUCAAGUUACUUUCUUAGAGUAUAACUCUAAGAAUUGUUUUUGGAACGAAGUAUGAAUCAUCUUCUUGAUUUAACCACUUUAACAUUUCACAGGUCCUCUUCUUAGCUAUCGGAAUUCACUUAGAGGAUGAAUUGUGAUAAGGUCUCUUAAUCAUUAAGAUGAUCAUAUACCAUGAUACUAAAGUACUCUCCCAUCUUUUCAGAUUUGAGAAACCUUUUAUCCUUCUGCCUAAUUUGAUUCUUCUUAUUCGCUUUACCAUACAUUGAAACCUUUUCCAAUGUCUCAGAAUUACACUUAAGCUUGUAAGUAAAACCAUAUUUACUGAGCUUUAGUAAAUUAUGACGAAUAAUGUUAUCGAUAUUUUGUGGUGGACUUGACCAAUGCACAAGAAUGUGUAGUUCAUCCCUUUGUCCUUCACUUGACUCACAUAUACAUGUUAACAAGGAAUUAGUCUUAAUUUUUCCAAAGAUGAAAAAUUCUCAUUCAUCAUGCUAUACAACUUGCAUGAUUCCAAGUUUCGGUCUUAUUGAAACCUUGGGUGACGAGAAUCUUUCGUUAUUUGGUAAAUUUAGACACUACCACAAAUUAAAGAAUCAAAAUCAUAUUUCCACUCUUGCUCUUAAUGGAAUCUUUAUAAGCAACAAAAAUUUUCACAAAUGCCAUUGUAAGGAUAUUUUAAAAUAAAUAAAAUCAAUUUUUUUUUCUUUUAUUUUAAAACUUAGCGGAAAAACUUAUCCUUACAAUCCAUAUGAAAACUUGUUGUUAUUUAUUCCUAAUCAAUACUCAUAACUCCUAAGAAGUAGCUCAAGAAUCCGAUCUUCAAACUAUGCGAUAGAAAUCCAUCUACGCGAUCAAAUUCAACAUAUUCUUUCUUUAAGUUUCUUCACUUUUCUUUGAUUCUUAAAACAUCAACAUGUGACCCAGUCACAUCAUGUAUCAAGAAUCUUAUAAUAGAAACUUAAUAGAGUUAGAUAGUGGACUUUACCUGAAGUAGAGUCAAACUUAUUGAUUUUAACAUCCUUAGGUAAAAUGGCAGCUUCGCAACCAAUGUCCCUUCCUUUGGCAAUUUAACAUAUGGACACUUUGGUAAUGAAAGAUGGUACUAUCACAGACAUAGCCAUUCUCUUUACCAUUUGGUCAACCGAGUUGACUAUGACCGAUCCCUUUCCAUUGGUUAGAGAGAGCUUUACUGGAUAUCCAAUGUUACAUUGUCAAUGUCCAUAAGUUUUAGGAAGUUGAUCUUAGCAAACAGAUAAGUUCAUUAAGGGUCUUGUCGUAGUCUGUUUUAUAGGAGUCCCAAAGGAACUCACUAUGUGACUUAGAAAGUAGUUGAGCCACCAACUUUCUCAAGACUUUGACACCCAACUCUCUCGGCUUGUCAGUAUGUGACUACAUCUCCAAGAUGUGACCACACAUAGAGCUUUACUUGCCAAUAGGGCUUGAGUGACCUUAAACUUUUCAAGAACUUGUUGGUUAGGGAGAAUAAUUGGAGGGGGUGAAAGAAGUAUGAUUUCCAUGGGACAUCAUCUUCAUUUAGGAAAGCUUGUUUCAAGAGAUUUGGGAAGAUCAUAAAUGUCUAAACUAGACAUCUUUUGGGAGAUAUUCAAGAUAGUUGAUUUAAAGUCCUUAAUAUGACACCCAAUAUGAAAUAUUAAGGCUAGGACCCAACAAACUAUUUUAUAACUUAGAAGAGGUAUGCUGUAAUCCAAGCUAUAAAAUAUUUGAAGGUAGGUGAAUGACGAUUCACCAAUUUCCACCAAGAUAAACGAAAUGUAUUAUUAGGUUUUAAUUGGUUUUGAAACUCCUAGAUCUUUUGAGAUUCAUUGAACUGUUCAAUGGCAUGUUUCAAUCUCGAGUGUGCCCUUCAGGUUUUGUGACUGGGAUGCCGAGGAUCACAAAACAAGGUGUGAAGUAACCAUGCAAAUUACUUGGUACCCUUAAGUGUUUACCCCUCAAUCGAUGUGCCGGUUAACCACACACGCUCCAUCGAUACUAUGAUAAACAUUAAGUUACCAUUUUCCUACCUUGUUAAAUACGAGUUAGUGUGCCGGUUAACCACACACGCUCCACUAACCGACUUAAACAAAGUGCAAAGUGUAAUUUCAUGGAUUAGCACCUUAUUCACAUUUUCCUAAGUAACUAAGAUUGGGUAUUUAUAAAAGGUUUAGUUACUUAGUAUUUAUCAUUAAUACUUUUAAUGAAGGGAGAAUUAUAGUCCUUGUCCUACCCGUUCGGCUAACGACCCUCCACCGGUCAAGGAAGCGGUGGGUGAGAGUGGACACCCAUUAAACUGCCAUUUUAUAGGCAGUAACCUUAUACCCCCCUUAUAGACCGACUUCGUGAAUGAGGCCUACUAACGGUAAGACUGACUUUGUUCUUAUACAUAUAUAUAAGUAUUAACUAUUAAUAUUAUAAUAGUAUAAUGGUGUAUUUUAAACAUUUAAAAUACUUGGUGGUUUAAUCUAUUAAUUAAAAUAUACUCUUAAUUUGAUUAAACUUAAACCACGUCUUUAUGGAAUUAUUAACUCUUUUAACUAGACACUUUAAUUAAUUUAAUGAAGUCCAUAAAGUUUGAACUUUAACUUUUAAAAAUCUUGGGUUUGGAAUUAAAGUGUAUAUGGGGUUUGACUUUACAAAUUCCAAAACUUGAGGACAAGUUUUGAACAAUUCAAAAAACUUAUGGUUUCCAUAACUUAUGAAUUUUAAAGUGGUUUAAUGGAAAAAACCCUUCAAGUUCCAUAACUUGUAGACAAGUUAUGGAAGACUUUAAAAGCAUUAAAAAAUUUGACUCUUCAUUUUUUCAUAAUUUAUGUAAAUUUUAUGAGUUUUUAAAAUUCAUAAAUGUGACUUUUCAUGUAACUUGAGGACAAGUUACAAAAACACAUAUUAUGAACAACUUCAAGAUUAAUUUGGAUUGAAAACAACUAUCUCAUAAUUUUUCCUAUUAAUCUAAACAAACUCAUAAACAUGAACAUUCAUAAUCAACAUUUUUCAAGCAUCAUAUAAACAUGUAUAAAACUUGAAACUUUGAUUAUUAUCCUUUAUUUGGAUGAGAAUAAACAUUACCAUAGUAUCAAAAAACAAAUUUGCGGUAAUGAUUCUAAUCCAAACCAGGCCAAAAAAAACUCGAAGAUAAGCUGUCAGGGGGUCCAACUCGUCGAGUGCAUGAACCAACUCGACGAGUUGGAAGAAUUUGUUCAUCGACUCGUCGAGUUCAUCACUGGACUCGACGAGUCUGCUGUCCCGACAGGAAAAAAUUCGAUAUUUUUUCCAGUUUUUUUCAGCAACUUGCAUCAAGUAUAAUUGAUAACAACCUAUGGCUCUGAUACCACUGUUGGGUUUUGGUAUACUACAACAUCAUAUGGUGCACAUAAAACCAUAAAUACCUUGGAUCUAUGUUUUCACUAAUUAUACAUGAAAAUGGUUUCCAAGGUAUUAAUCUUACAACUAGCAUGCAUUUAACAUAAAAAUUAUAAUAUACUAGUUAGCAUGACAUACCUUUUGAUGGAGCUUGAAUUCUUGGUGUAUUUGGCCUUAAAGAGCUUAGCCCCAAUAGUGUGGAAGCCUCAAAUGGAAUCACAACACACCAUGGACAAAGGAUGAACUUGAGAGAGAAUUCCAUGCACACAAAAGACACCAUUAACUCUAAAAAGAUACAAGUGGCGAUUUUGGGCAAUGAAGUAUCUAUUUAUAUGUGGGAUUUCUAGGGUCAUGGAUAUAACCCAAAUCCAUACCCAUGGGUUUUAUGAUCCAUGGUUCAUGUGGCCCAACUUUUUAUGUAUCCAUACAUAAACUUGGUCCAACAUGGAUCAUAAAUAUAAAUAUAACUAAUUAUCAUAAUUAGUCCCCAUAGAUUUAAUUAGUCUCUUUUGACCACUAAAGUAAUUCCAAAUUAAUUCUUAAUCAAUACUAAUUAAAACAUAUGAUUUCAUAUUAAUAUAUUAUAACUUAUAAUAUAUUAAUAAACCAUAACUAAGCUUCUCUCAAAAGUCCAUCCUAACAUAUUGUACUGAUGAUAUGCAACCCAAAUGGACCAUGCUACUCUCGGGUUGAAUACAUACCAAUAAUAGUUAUGGGCUUAGACACCUAAUCCAACAGUUCCACCCAGUGAAUGCUCAGAUUUUCUACUGCUUCGUUCAAGAUUCGCUCCAUGGACCAAGGAGGAAAUAACAGUUUCUUGGAAGCUAGGGCAGUUUGAGCAUCACGUUCCACUUUUUCUUUUUCUUCUUCCUCUCUCGCAAUGUGUAAGUUUUUCAUCGAGAAUGGCAUCACGAGCCUUAUGUUUCAGUUUCUCAUUUCAUUUUCUUCCUCUUCUUCUUCUUCAACCAUUUUCUCAUUUCCCUUUGAACCCGAAGAUACAUUACCCUUCGGUUCAGAUUCAGAAACUUUCACUUUUACUUUUUCACCAACCUUCUUGGGGUCUUUUGAAGAUGGAGGCUUCACCGAUUCUCCCCCUUGUUUUGGAAUUGAGCUAAAAUCCGAAACACCCUCAAGGCGAUUUAGCAUUGCGAACGUCGGGUGGAGUUUGUUUGCAUGAUGAUUCCUAACAGUGAUGGGGAUCAACGGAUCACGAACCUCGACAAUAUUAGAUAGCAUGGAGUUGACAUUUGAAACACAGCUUUUUGUGACAACUCUCUCAUUCAAGAGCUCAUUGACGUGCUUUUUUCAUUCUCCAGUUUCACAUUCAACACCUUCACUCUUUCAGACUUGAGUGCAAGAGCAUCCAUUAUUUUGCUCUCAAUAGCUAAGUCAUCUUGAAGCUUGGUGAUUUUGGAUGUGAUAGAAGAGUUUAGCUUAGAGUUGUCAGUUUGAAUUCUUGUACGAACCUUCUCGAGAGCCUCCUUCUUAGUGCGAAGGGAUACACUCAGAUCCGAGAUUGCUGCAUUGGCUUUGGCAGUGUUGGUCUCAAAGGAGCUCUGAAAGAUGCUCAUGAAGGCUUUGCCAUCAGUAAUUAGUUUAUUGAAUUUUUCGAUCGCUUCCUUGCAGGUCUUAGCCGAAUCCUGCACGACUUUGUUCGCCUUCUCUAGGUUCUCAGCAUGCUCUUUUAAAGUUGUUUCUAUUAAAGCUUUGACUGCUUCCUGGGAAUAUGCAUUGCUGGAUGAAGUGUUGGAAGAUUAGAUUAACGAAUCCAUUUUGUCAUUGAUGGUUUUGAAUUGUUUUUGAGUGACUAGAGCGUCAUCGUCACUCUCGUCUAUAACACGAAAAGGACUAAAGGUGAUAUUUUCAAAAUUUACAUCACCUCCAAAAAUAGUAUUCAGAUCAUCCUUGCUUAGUGGAGAAACUAGUGGUGUUGAAUGACCAACUGAGAAGCCCUUGCCCUUGCCCUCGCAUUAGAUGUUCUAACAGUGACUGGAGGUUCGUCAGUGGUAGUGGUUGUAGUGGCAGUUGAAUCUAUGAAGAAGGUGGUCUGGGUUUGCGAAAGCCCCAAGGAUACUAGUGGGAAAGGUGCGAUUGUGAUCGGAGUAGAGACAGUAGAUGUGGGUGAAGAUAUGGAAAAUUCCUGGAAUAGACCUUCAUUAAUUGGAACGGAAGUUGGGAUUUCAAACCUUUCGUCAGGGUUUGUAGUUACAGGCUCCGAAACCUGUGGAUGCGAUGUAGUGGAAGCAUCAUCCUCCUUGUGAACCUCUUCCUGAAUAGGAGUCUCCGAAACGGUGUGAGACUGCGAAUCCUCCUGGUCACUCGGAGUUGGAGACCUAGGCGUACGAGCCAUCUUGUUAACCCUCUUCCUUUUUGGUGCCUGUGGAGGUUCAGAAGGACCGACUUUCGCAACCCUCUUUUUACCUCCCUUUUUGGGUUUAUCAACCUCAGCAAGAAUUUGUUACAAUUCAUCAAUCAGUGGGUAAAAUCCUAAGACUGGCAGACUGCGAUAAGCGUGUAGUACUUCGCUCGCAGCUGGAACCUCUUGCAAAAUCACUUCAGGAAUGGAUCCGAUGAAGCUGAAUUUGGAGGUAUCAACAUGUAUGAUGUUCAUGGUUUGGAAAGUCAGAAUCCCUACCAUUAUUGAAUCUUCGAGCACUGGGAUGUUGAGUUUGUUGAUUUCCCUUUGAACGACAAUGUACCAGAGACAAGCACAGGAGAUUUUACUGUGUCGUGUGGUAGAGUGGGUGCUUUUGACCAACUGGAAAUAGAAAACUGAACCGUAGUCCAGGUUGAUGCAUGAGUAGCUUCUAUACAUUAGCAUCAUGAAAAUUUUGCUCGCACAGUUUGAGCCGGUGACUCUCUCUGAGAAGCUUUUGAAGAGUAAAGAGGUUGUUCCACAUUGAUGGAAAAUUCGGCUUCUUGAACUUGGAAACAGUAGUUAACGUUUCCUUAUAACCCAUCUAAUAGAACAUCUCUAGAAUGGCAGAGUUGGAGACGUUUUCGGGGCCAAUCAUCUCACUACCCUAUGGAAGCCCUAGAAGGUUGCAGAACCUUGAAUUAGUAAUUUGGGUUUUCUAAUUGAAGAUCUCGAAUAUGAUGAAUUCAUCACCCUUUGUAUAACUAGCAGUAGAAUAUGCUUUUGACAGAUUCACCAUCGAAACAAUUUUAGACUUGGUAAGAGCGAUUACCAGUAGUGAAUACCUUAAGCAUUCAACGAUCAGUUGAAGAAAACCGUCGUAUUUUGUAGGAUAGAGAUUGAGAAUCAUGUUUUGAUUAGCUUGGAGGUGGAGGAUUGAGGAUUGAGCCAUCUAUUCUGUUGCAGAAGGUUUUUCCGAAGAGGCAGCCAUUGAUGCUUGUAGAAGAAGAUGAAUAGUAGAGAGAGAUUUUUCUAGAGGGUUUGAUAUCUUUGAAAAUAGUAAUGAUAACUGAAGCAUCGAUAUCCUUUUGUACCGUGUAUUAGGAGAAAGAAAUAUGGCGUUCGGUGCUUUAACUGCUUGUAAAAGGGCUUGAAAAAGCAUGACUGACAACUGUUGUGUGUGAGUCAGGCGGCGGUAAAGCAGGCAGUAAGGAGUCGUUUCAAGUUCCAAGCGCCCAAUUUUAAUUAUUAUCUCUUUAAUAGCACCGUUUCAAUUUAACCCUUUUCCGCCAAUACAGAUGAGCCUUCGUAUUAGAUUGCCAUAAGUUAUUCUGAGAAACUAAAAGUAAACAUGAGUACCACGAACCAGAGUUUGGAAAAUCACAAGGAUCUUUGUGCGAAAGUGUGCCAAAGAUUAAAGAAAUAAAGCGAGUUUUAUUAGGGAUUCCAGUGAUGUCAUAGAAGACAUAAAACGGAUGGAUCCUUGGAAACGAUCUCUUCCUUCACAGUCAAGAGAGACUUUGAAGUGCUUGUGUGGUGUCCCCUUGAAUUACGAUCAACUGUUUGUUGAGAGUAGUGAAAGGCAUCUUUUAGUAAGGCGAAUGAGGUGGCUUAGUCUUCAAGUAAAUCCAAAACUCAACAUAAGUCCGAACGUUCGUAUGAAGUUCUUGUUUGACCAGUGUAGCCAUAAAACAAGUAUGCUUGGGAAUUAUUUUCAGUGGAAAUCUCAAGAAAAAUAAAAUUGGAUCUAUUGGGAAGAAAUGUCUUAGGACUAGAACAUUUCAUUUAGAUCUCGCUAAAGAAAAAGAGAUUUCUUGGUACCGACCGCGAAGGUGGACAUUCGUUAAUUCCUUGGUGAAAAAAUAUAGAACAUGUACCGUAAAUUCGUAAAAAUGUGUUGGAUUUUGGGUUUCACUUAAUUUGUGGUAAUAAUGAAUUUAAGAUCAUAAACACUAAAGAUGUGUAACCAUAAACCUCAAUGGUAAUUUCUGAGAGUCUCAAGGGUUACGUUUCUAAAUGCGAAAGUGAUGGAGAAGUAGUUGGAGGUGGUUCCAAAGAAAUAAUGUACCUCUGCUAUGCGAAAGUGACCAAGCAACGAACUCUUGACUCUAUGUGAGAAGAGUAAUGUGGCUCAUGACUUAUGUGAAUAAACAACCUAAUUGGGAAGAAACGAUUGGUGUUAUUCGCUUCAUUAAGACUUCAACAUAGAGUCUUUGAGGCUUCAGACAACAUGCAACAACAUGUUUCUAAGGACACUUAACUAGGAAUAGAUUAAGAACUUUAUACCUAUCCCAUCAUUCGUAGUUGAGAUCAUCAACAUAUGAAUCUUCAAUCCUACCAAAUUAUCUAAUAUUUUUGGUAUUUUAUAAUUUUAUGAAAAGAAAUAAAUAAAUAAAAUGAAGAAAAUAUUUUUGAAUUUUUGGUUUUUCUAAAAAAGAAAUUAAAAACAUAAAGAAAAAAUAUUUUUGAGUUUUUGGAUUUUCUAAAAAAGAAAUUAAAAACAGAAAGAAAAAAUAUUUUUGGAUUUUGUUUUUCUGAAAAAGAAAUAAAAACAGAAGCAAAUAAAAAAAAAUUAUUAACAAAAUGUACAAAGGAUACAUGAAAUUCCGAACCUUCGAAUGAACAGUGGACUGCGAGUUACUAUGAGCGUUCGCACCAAUUUGCAGUAUGAAAAGUAGACUAUGAGUCAUUGCGAGCGUUCGUACCAAUUCGCCGUUAAAACAUUAUGAAUGUGAAGGUGGUUUUGGAACAGAUUCAGCCUCUGUCAUUCCUAGGCCUUGAAGAAUGUGAUUGAAGGUUUGCUCAGGUAAGGCUUUCAUGAAGAUGUCAGCCAAUUGAUCAAUGGAUCUAAUGAAGUGUAUCUUAACAUUACCAUCUUCCACAUGAUCUUUGAUGAAGUGAUACCUCAGUGCUAUAUGUUUCGUCUUUGAAUGUUGCAUUGAGUUGUGACAAAUACGAAUGGCGCUCUCAGAAUCGCAAUAUAAAGGGAUUUGCUUCCUGUUGAUACCAUAGUCGCGAAGCUGAUUCUGAAUCCAGAUUACUUGUGAAGUGUAAGAGGCAGCGGUUAUGUACUCUGAUUUAGCAGUUGAUAGGGAGACACAAGUUUGCUUCUUUGAUUGCCAACUUACGAGUUUACCAUCAAGAAAUUGGCAUCCUCCCGUAGUACUCUUUCGAUCUAAACUGCAACCUCCAAGAUUAGCAUCUGAAAACGCUUGCACAAAGAAACUUGAACUUGAAGGGUGCCAUAUUCAUAGUGAAUAUGUUCGCUUGAGAUACCUGAAGAUAUUCUUAACAGGGUUCAUGUGAGGUUCGCGAGGAUUCACUUGAAACAUGGCAUAGUAGCAGACGGAAAACAUGAUAUCUGGAAGACUAGCAGUCAGAUACAUCAGUGAACCUAUCAUUUGAUGAUAGAGAGUCAUGUCAGCAGUUGGCUUGUCUAAAGACAGUGUUAGUUUUGUUCCAAAUGCCAUUGGAACCUUCACCUUUGAAUCUCCCACCAUUCCAAACUUAAAGAAUAUGGUCUUUGUGUAAGCCUCUUGAUGUUUAAAGAUACCUUCCUGACUCUCUAUUAUAUUCAAGCCAAGGAAAAAAGUUAAUCAGACCCAUGGAACUCAUCUCAAACUUAGUUUCCAUUAACUUUCAAAACUCAGCUGUUAAGUUGGGGUUAGUUGAUCCAAAGAUGAUGUCAUCAACAAAAAAUUAGACGAUCAUCAAGUGGUCAUCGUCUUUCUUGCGAAAGAAGGUUGGGUCGACCGAUCCCUGUUUAAAUUUAGCCUUUUUUUUAAAACGAGUUAGAGUUUCGUACCCGGCUCUCGGAGCUUUCUUUAGACCAUAAAUUGCCUUUUACAGAACAUACCAGUGGUUCGGAUACUAUUCGUUUAUGAACCCUAGUGGUUGUUCCACAUACACUGUUUCUUCUAGUUUCCUCUUUAGGAAUGCAUACUUGACAUCUAUCUGAUAUACUGUAAAGUUCUUGUGUGCCGCGUAUGCCAGAAAGAUGCGAACAGAUUCCAACCUUGAAAUAGGUACGAAGGUCUCUUCAUAGUCAUUUCCUUCUUCCUGACAGUAUCCCUUGACAACAAUUCACACCUUGUUCCUUAUCACAUUUCCUUCUUUAUCUAGCUUAUUGCGAAAUACCCAUUUUAGACUAACUACAGACGCAUCCUUUGGAGUGGGAAUAAGUCUCCAGAGUCUGUUUCGUUCAAAUUCAUUGAGCUCCUCUUGCAUCGCUUGUAUCCAGUCAGAGUGAUUAAGCAUAAUCUGAACAUUUUUAGGUUCAAUUUUGGAGAUAAGCGAACUGAACAUGCAAUAUUCUACUUUAGAGAACAGUGCAGUUCGCUUUGCCUUUUUUUAUGCUCUCAUAAGAACUCCUGAAGAUGAAUCUCCUAUAACUUGAGUGUUUGGAUGAUCUCUGGUCCAUUUACUCAACGGAGAGAGAUUAGGAUCAUAUGUAGGAUCCAAUUCAGCAUUUGUAUCCUCGUAUUCUAACUGCACAUCCUCAGAAUCAUCAUUCGUUUCUUUAUUCUCCCCAUCGAAUGAUGAGAGUUUCUCUACUUCCGGAAAAGAAUUCUCCCCCUGGACUGCACUUUCGUGGGUCUCCUGAGGAUUGAAUACUCACCCUAAAAAGGUGUAUCUGAUGUGGAGGUUGAAGUAGAACCCUCCCCCUGCAUUGGUGUGUUCGCACCUUGUGAUUCUUUCACAGUCUGAGGUUCACUUUCAAGAUUCUUCGCAGUUUUGUCAAUAAUCUUCUUCAGUUUUUCUUCCUUGUUGUCUAUUGCUUUGUAUUCGGAGGAGAUGGCUUUUUUAGGUUCGCCGAAUAAGUUCAUGAACUCCUCGUAGAGAUUGGAGAGUGGAAUGGUUGUAGGAUUCAGUUUAGGAAAGAUCUCUUGUGAGGGACUGUCAUUCUUCUAAAACUUCUUCAAGUAAUUGACGUCAAAAGUAACAUAGUAGGUUUCUUCAAUACUUUUGGACCUUUUGUUGAGAACCCUAUAUUCUUUAGAAGUCAAAGAAUACCCUAAGAAUAUACCUUCAUCAACUUUCAUAUCCAAUUUGUUCCUUUGCUCCUUUAAAUUGAAGAUAAAGCCCCUAGAACCAAAAACAUGGAAAAACUUGACAUUAGGUUUGCGAUUAUUUAUGAUUUCAUAUGGAGUGACAGAGAAUCUCUUAUUGAGAAUGGAAUGAUUUUGGGUAAAGCAUGCAGUUCCUAUUGUAUCUGCCCAUAAGUAAAGCAACAGAUUCGCGGAUGAUAGCAUAGUUCUCGCAGUUUCGCACAAUGAGAGGUUUCACCUUUCAAUGAGUCUGUUCUAUUGUGGAGUAUAAGGAGCUAAAAAUUUGUGAGUAGAUCCUUUCGCUGUAAGAAGUUGUUCAAAAUCUUGGUUUUUGAAUUACAACUCGUUGUCACUGCGAAUGUUGCGAACUAGCUUUCAUAAUUGUAUCUUGAUUUGCUUUAUGAAAUCCUUGGGCGUUGCUUUUGAUUUUUGCUUAAGAAAAUGCACCCAUGUGAAUCUGGAAAAAUCAUCUACAAUUACGAGAAUGUACUUAUUUCCACCAACACAUUCAAUUGCAGAAGGACAAUAAAGGUCUAUAUGCAAAAGCUUGAGUGGUUCUAUGACUUUCGUGUUCACAAUUGGUGGAUGACUCUUCCUACCUUCUUCCCUAAUUCACAGGCUAUACAAAGAUGUUAUUUAUUAUACUUCAAGAGUGGAAGCCCUCGCACAUGAUCACCAAGAACUAAGUUGUUGAUGUCUUUGAAAUUGAGGUGUGAAAGACAGCGAUGCCAUAGCCAGCUAUCAUCUGAUGAAACUUUCGUAAGUAGAUAAAUGUUAGGCUUUCAUUUGAUAGGAUUCAGAUUAAGAGGGUACAUUUCUCCCUUUUGUUUUGACUUUAACAAUACAUUUUUGGUUGCCUUUUUAAUGAUUUCGGACCCUUCAUCAUUGAACGAAACCUUCAACCCUGUACCAACCACCAACUGCGAAACACUAAUGAGGUUGUGUUGCAGUCCUUCCACAUACACGACUUUGCUAAUUGAAACUCUCCAUUUGUUAUAAUCCCAUAGCCCUUGAUUUCUCCAAGUGAAUUGUUGUCGAAUUUCACUCUUCCCCCAUCCUUUAGGACCCUGAACUCUCGCAUUUCUUCCCUUCUUCCCGUCAUGUGACAUGAGCAACCACUAUCUAUGUACCAUUCGGAGUCAAACUGCUCGUCACUAAUUAGCUAUAAAAUCAAGCAAAUUUAGGAACCCAAAGUUUUUUGGGUCCUCUUGAGGUUUUCACAGAAACAGGAAAAGUAAUGGAAACAUCAACCAUAUAAGUUCGUUUUAUUAAGGUGGUUUUAUAUUUCUUUGUGUUUUGAAAAACAAUGAUCCGAUUGUCCUUUAAGUCCGUAUCUUUUAAGGAUGUUUUCUUUUGUUUAUUAUGGAUUUGCUGCUUGACAAAUUUCUUGUCAUCUCUCUUUGAGUUAGUUUCAGAUUUCUUGAUUGGAAUUUUAGGCUCUGAAACCAUCUUUCCUUUUCCCUUAACAUCUUUUGAUGUCUUGGUAGAUUGUGAAACAUUUUUGUUAGGAAAGUUAUGAGAUUUUGAAUUUUCCAUAGGCUUCAUUUUAUUUGGAAAAAUGGGUUGUUGAAAAACUUUUUGUUUGGAAGCCUGUGGAGACUGAGACUGACUUUUUGAAAAACUCCUAAGGUUCGCAUGUGACGAAACGUUCGCAUUUGGAUUGGAAGAAUUUUCUUUUGGAACAAAAUUGGGAUUCUUUGAUUUCCAGAACUGCUUUCUUUCCUUUAGAUUUUUAUUAUGUCUCGCAUUCCUUUGGCAUUUUUUAGCGGUGAACUACUCAGAAGACUUAUGAAUUUUAGUCUUGGCUUUCGGCUUGCUAACUGGAGUUUCGAUCUGAAUGGAUGAAGUAUCACUUGAAACAUUCUUAGUUGCACUAGGACUCCCCUUUUCGUAGCUUGAGUUAAUGUUAUUUAGUGGUUCUGCUACAUAUUUUCCCUUUGUCUUCCAAGAGGUCGUUUCAGAUAGACCUUUGGUUUCAUCGACAUUAUCGAUCGGGGAUAACCAAAAGAACUCGUCGCAUCCAUCUUUAUUGUCGUCUUCAACAAUGGACGUUAAUUCAGAUGUUUGGUUUUUGUUCAAUCCUUUAGUUUUGAAAACUUGGCUAGGGACCAUUUCAACCUUUGAAAAAACAGUUUCUUUUUUCGUGUAAAACUUUUGAUUUAUCUUCAGAAAAACAUGCAAACUCAACUGAAUUUUUUGAUGUUAAGACUUUCGCAUGUUUAGAUUUACUUUUACAAACUCAGAGCAAUCAACCUCAUCCUCCACAAAAAUUUCACUCGUAUCACUUUCAUCAUCGAAUUCAGAAACGUUUUCAACAUCUAGUUUAUUUUCCGAACUCAACUUGGUGCUUAAUGAGUCAAACUUCUGUACAUUUUCGGAUUUAAUUUGCUUUUUGUCUUUUUCAUCUAAAAGUUGUUUAAGCAUGCUUUUGUGGUCUUUGGACUGUAUGUAUGAUUCUAUUUUGUCCGGUCCUACCCUGUAAGUAUCUGAAACUUCCUCUGAUGAGACAAAAGAUUCACAUUAGUAACAAUCAAUGUUUAUUUCAUCUUCUAUUAAUUCAAGGAAUGGCAAGAUCAUUUUAUGCAGUUUCUUACCAAUCUCACAAUCUAAAUGCAACUGAGUGAUAUUAAAAUAAAGUCUUUUGGCAAUUAAAAAAAAAUAUUACGUUGUUUUAAAACACAUAAAUUAUCUCUCUGCAAAUAAAUUAAUGCAUCCCUAGACUUAGACAAAUUUGACUCCAAUUUUCAAAUCCACAUGCGUCGCUCUUCAUUCUUUGACGAAACCCUGCCGAUUUGAUUGGUUAAGUUAGAAUUUGUCAAACGAGUUCAUUUUAGAAUAUCACUGAAACUUGAAAAUAUGUAUUUUAAUUUGUUUAAUUUGGUUUCAUAUUUAGAUAAAGGUAUAUUUAGAGAUUCAAGAAUAGAGUUUACCUUGUUGAUCACCUGAUCACACUCGCUAAUCUGCUCAAGAACUGAUUUCGUAGCGAAACAACUAUCAGUGCUACGUCUACCAUCAGUUGCAUAACCCUUCAUCUUUGACACUUCAUUGGUAACCAUCAAACACCUUCCAUUAACUUGAGAGNUAAAAUAAAGUCUUUUGGCAAUUAAAAAAAAAUAUUACGUUGUUUUAAAACACAUAAAUUAUCUCUCUGCAAAUAAAUUAAUGCAUCCCUAGACUUAGACAAAUUUGACUCCAAUUUUCAAAUCCACAUGCGUCGCUCUUCAUUCUUUGACGAAACCCUGCCGAUUUGAUUGGUUAAGUUAGAAUUUGUCAAACGAGUUCAUUUUAGAAUAUCACUGAAACUUGAAAAUAUGUAUUUUAAUUUGUUUAAUUUGGUUUCAUAUUUAGAUAAAGGUAUAUUUAGAGAUUCAAGAAUAGAGUUUACCUUGUUGAUCACCUGAUCACACUCGCUAAUCUGCUCAAGAACUGAUUUCGUAGCGAAACAACUAUCAGUGCUACGUCUACCAUCAGUUGCAUAACCCUUCAUCUUUGACACUUCAUUGGUAACCAUCAAACACCUUCCAUUAACUUGAGAGACUUCAGCCUUCGCCACGAAGUUGCUUCCAUGAGUAGGUCUGUGAACCUCUUCAUCUUCUGAGUCAGUUGACCAUACCUCGAUUCUACCAUACUCAUCUUUAGCUUUGUUUUCCUUCACAAUCAAAGCAUGCAUGGUAUUAUCAGCGUUCUUUUUCUUUUUGAUCUCCUCUAACUUUCGAAGAUAGUAUGUCUCGUCAACCUCUCCCUCCAUCUUCUCGUUCAAUCUUCUCAGCAUGCAUUCUUAGGCUAGAUGGUUUUUACCAUGACAAAAGUUAUAAUCAUAGCCGGAGUUCCCCAUAAGCUUUUUAUCCUUAUUUGCUUCUUCUUUCUUAGAGUUAUUUGCACUCUCCUCCUUUACAUGUACCGAGCUGUAACUUCCUUGCCAGUUUUGAUUCUUGUUGCGACUGAAGUUCUUCUUUGCAAAAUUCUUUGGAUUGGACACCAUCAAGGCAUAAUCCUCUUUUGAGAGUUCACAAUUGGAUAGUUCAGUCUCCGAUCCAUCAUCAUCUAUAACCUUUUUUACCCUUCACAACGAGGGCAAUGAUCCCAUUCCAGACACUAACUUCCCUUCUUUUGUCACUUCAUCUUCAUGUGACCUCGAUAUUCCAACAAGCUUUGCCAACAUGUAGUUCCUAAACUACUCAUGUGCUUUUACGAUAGAAACUAUAGUCUUCCAUUCAUAUCUCAUGAACGUGACUUUUUGCAAAAUUAGUUCAUGUCAGAUGCUGUGCUUCAUAAUCCUACUGAGAAGAUGAUUAUAUCGAUUGAAAGUUUGAUCUAGACUCUCUUCAGGCUUUUAUACAAAGGCUCCAAACUCUGAAAGCAGAAGGGUUUGUGUAGAAUGCUCAAGAUCAGCAUCACUUGAGUAUAGUUCAUUGAGCCUAUGCCAUAUAGCUUUUGCUGUGUCACAUGAACUUAUCAGACGAAAAGUGUCUGGUGGCAAAGCAAAUAUAAUGAUCAUCAUCACUUUAACAUUGCUUAUCAGGUUAUCCUUCUCAUCUUGUGGUACGUCUUUUGCAUCAAGAAGAAGCUUGUUGUAGUCGGCUUGAGUUUUAAUUACUCUUCUUGUUCCUGUAUGAGCAAAUGUCUGGACAAUAAUGGCUUCCCAUAUCAAAUAAUCAUUAUCUUCAAGCCCUAGGACAUAAUAUUCAAAGUGCAACGCCCACACUUCAUAAUCACUAGGUAAAAGAAUGGGGAUUAUGGUUGUAGGUACAAUGCUGCUUGAAAGAUUUAUGGAGUUAAUAUGAGAUUCGUCUGACAUGUUUAAAGAUCGAUUAAAACCUGUAUGAAUCAGAUGCGUAAACUAAAAAUAGUUUUAAGGUAAUAUCAAGAUCAAAGAUCAGUGUCAAUAACAAUGAUGACAGCUAAACCAGAUCCAAUAAUAGCGGACACCCUUAAAACUCUUUUAACAGAAGAGAUGCUUAUAGAUUACACAGUCUCCUGCUUUGAUACCAAAUUUUGACAUUAAAAAUCUAAAGAGUGAAUAGAUUCAAACAGGAAUAAGCAAUCAAACACAAAAUAUGAAUCAAGAAUGUGUCGAAUGAUUAAAAGUCACGGCCUUAGAAGAACUCGAUAAAGAACUGCUACUGUAGAGGCUAUGUAGGGUUUACAAUGACACGAUUAGAAAAUACACGAUGCAUGCAUGCACCUUAAAUAGUAAAACACUAAUCAUUAAUCACAUGUGGACAGGCCCAACCCGGAUACAAAAUAGACUAUACAAAAGCCCAUAAUGAAGCAACACUAAAUACCCAAUAGUUCUCAAAUGUUCUCAAAUUAAGAAAUGUUCUCAUUUGAACACACACACACACACACACACACAUAUAUAUAUAUAUAUAUAUNUAUAUAUAUAUAUAUAUAUAUAUAUAUAGUGUUUUUGUUGUAAAUGGAGGCGGUGAAAGUUUAUGAUAAAGUAAAUCGCAUUGUCUAGAUAUCAUUUUGAGUGUUUAGAAAUGAUAAGUAAUCUCACUGUUAUCAAAAUGUAUAAUAAUUCCAAGAAAAUAAAGAUACAUGUGUGGCCAUCAAACGAAGUAGUAAAAAAAAGAGAUUAAUUAAGGUUAAAGGUUUAAGUCAUUUGUAAUGGAAUUUAUACAUAAAUAUGUAGAUUAGUCUUUUGAAAAAUUUUCUAAUUAUUUAAGUCAAGACAAAUAAAAGUUUACGAGAAGUCAGGGUAUUUACGAAAACAAGUUGGAGAGUUUAGGAACUCAUUCGAGAUUGCAAAGUACAAUGCUAUUUUAAGAAAUGUGUAAAAAUAUCAACCAUUGAAAAUAGUGUAUUCUUAUUUUAGUGAUCCUACAAAAAAAAUCAUUUUAAGGAUAGAUAAUUGUAACAUUUAAAACUUUUUAUAUUUUUAAAGAAUAGAAGAAACAUAAGAAAAUAUAUUUUUCACGUAUAUUUUAUGAAUUUAGAAAAAUGAUAAUAACAAGGGUAUUCAUCUUGUGUAUUAACUGUAAGGAAAAUAUAAUAAAAAUUGCAUUUUAAAUCAAAUUUCCAAAUUUAAAACGAAAUAACAAAUGUAAAUAAGGAUUACUCGUUUAUAGUGGAUUUCAUAAUAAAAACAAAAUUUAUAUGAUAAAAGGCAUAAUUGAAUAUAUCAAAGUUGACCAAGUAAAAAUUAUGCCUCCUCACUAUACAUGCACGUAUUAAUCGUUCAUAAUGAAAAGGUAGAAUUCUAGUAUGUAUGCGUAUGAAUAUGGUAAUAAGGUGAGCAAAAUAGACAAAAAAAAAUUAGACCAUGCAUUGUGUUAUUAUUAUGAGUUUGCAAGUUCUCAAAUCAGAAGGAGAGCAAGAAAUCAAGUACGGGGAAAAAAAGGAAGGUAGUAGCAGCAAUGAUUGCUAUUAUUAAUAUUAUAAGAACAAUACCUAUAAGUAGAUUUAAAACUAGUAUGAGAUAUAUUUCGAACUUCAAUCUUUAACGUAUGUUGAUGAUUAAAUAAACAUGUGGAAGUUUUAAAGUGUUUUCUAAGGUUUGCUAAAAAAUCAUGAGUUAUCUAUUAAGUUAAACUUCAUUUGUGAAAUAGAAGAAACACUAAAACUGGUAAUUAAAAAUCUGACAAUUUUGACUUUUUAAAAUGAAGUCAAAUAAUGGUUAAAAUGGAUAAGGUAAAGACUCAAUAUUUUCAAAAGAAUAAUUAUACAUUGUUGAAAGUGUGUCAUUUGAAAUUUAAAAGUGGCACUAAGUUUUGCAUUGUGGUAAAAUCUAGGAACUUUAUAGAUUAUAAAACUAAUUUGUAAUAAAAUGAACAAAUAAGGUGUGUUUUGAAAUGUCGGAAUUAGUGAUGUCUUGUAAACACGUUUGGAGUUGAAAGUUGUAAAAAUAUCUUGUUGGAUUUCAAGAAAACACAUUUAAGUAAAGUACAAUGCCUAAAUGAGAAAGUGGUCAAAAGAGUCAAAACAAAAGUGGUUUGAAAGAUCCAGUGAAGCUUUUACACAUAAUAUGAACUUUAAUGUCAUAUGUUUAAGUUUUAUAGCAUAGAGUUUAAACACUUUUAUAAAUGAAAAUGUUUCUAAGUUUUUUGAAAAUGUACCAAAAUGGUAAGAAAUGAUUAAAAUGGUUUAUAUGCCCUUAAAAAGCACAUCUAUCCAUUAAAAUGGAUUUGAAAUGAAAUUAAAAUAGCAAGAUUAAAACCAAUAUUGGUUAACCUAAGUUUUGAAAAAAAGUGUUAAGUUAAAACAAGUUGUUAAAAGUAAAGUUGGUUGUUUUUAGCGAGAAAUAUUGAUUAUAUGGUUAGAAAAUGUCUAGUAAGUUAUAUGAAGUGGUUAUAAAAUAUUGUACUGAUGGUAAAUAAAACUAGUGAAGUGAAAUAGGUUUGGUGAAAGAUUAAGAAGUAAGGACUAAAUGGGUUAGUGUAACUAGUCGUACCUAAUACUAAUGUGAGUAUAAGGCUAGUACCGGUAACUUUUCCGCAAAAUAAAGGACACAAAAAAUUGUUUGUAAAACAUGUUAUCAUGUAGCUAUAGUUUUGUGCCUUUUAUAGGGAUCAAAGGUUAAGUCAUAGGUUUAACGUGUGGCGUAAGAGGAUGAAAUCCUUGAUAACGAUAGGAAUGUUAGUAAUGCUGAUAAGGAUUCAAAAAAAUAUAUGAAAACGAUAAGGGUCAAAAUCUUGAUAACGAUAGGAAUGUUAGUAACACCGAUCACGACUCAAUCAAUGAAGUAGUGCGAUGUUUGCUCGGGCAUGAAAAUUACGGUUGAAGGUUGGGCAUGAAAAAUGUUAGUAAUUUGGGAAGUGUAAGAUGAUUGUAUACUCGAGAUAAUCACUAGUAUAUCUGGGGGUCUCGAAUUACGCCUUGUAAGUUUUUUCAUAAGGGUGAUGGUAUGUGCUUGGAUUAGGAUAUUCGAAGUAAAGAUGGUAGCGUAAGAACUACCUAAUGAAAAGUUUUGGGUUAAAGAGAUAUCAUGUGUUAAGUUUUAAGCUCAAGGUGGAAACAACCGAAACCUAAAAUCGUCGCGUAGAAGAAAAUCCUCACGUAUUAGUAGCAAUGGGUUAAACAUCUAUGUCUGUGACAACCCAAGUCGUUCCGUUACAUUUCCCCGUUACCGUUAACGGAAUAUUGCAGUUUAUAAAAGUUCCGUUAAUUAGAGGUCGUCAAUUUAAUAAACAUUCCAUUUGUUUACAAUUAAUAUGCCGUUAAGUCGUGAUAAAAGGAAAUAAAAACACAUGACACACAUUUCCAUUUAAUUGGAAAAAGUUAGUUUUUAUUAUUAUGACCACUAAAUCGGGUGCGACCAAAAGCCCCGUAUAACGGCAGUAUCGGGUAGAUUCCCACUGAGCUCCAACUCCCACCCAUAUAUAAAGGGGAGUAAACCCCAUUUGGAGACUUUUUACACUCUCUCUCUAGACUCGUUUUCGCCCCGAAUCUAUGAUUCCCUUGCCUUAGUCAGCAGUCCUCACUGCUGAGGCAUAUGUAUUUCCCUGACGUCUCUUGCUUUCUUUAGUAAUCAAAUUCAGUAUUUUGAUAAUGAUAGCAAUUAAGGGAAAACUACUUUUUACCACAUAACACUGACCAGUCUUGGUAGAAGGCUGCUUUAUUAAAGAAAAUAUAGGAUUUUCUGGAAAGAACUCUAAUACACAGUAAACACUUAAACUACUACUUUAUAAAGUUAUUUGAAUAAAUGUCACUAAAUGCUUAUGAACUCACCAGCAUUUGUAAAAAUGCUGAUACUCGCUUUUCAAAUAACUUGUAUUUUCAGGGUAGCAUUAGACAGGUACACCCCAGGAGCCGUUGAUGAAGAUAGCUUAGUACCUUGUUGUACUUAUUAUAUUUGUAUGUAUUACUUUGAUACUUUGUAAUGUAAACUAUGUAAAACUAUUACUAUUAAUGCAAUGUUUUGUUGUACUUUGAUUACUAUAAUGCAUGUGUUGUGAUACUUGACAUGACGUCAUCCACCCCAGAACGUUUCUGCCGUUCCGGUUUUGGGGUGUGACAGAUUGGUAUCAGAGCAUUGUUUAUAGUGAGCUAAGUAUAUCAAUUCAUAAAAGAUAUACAACCUAUAAACACAAAGGGAUAAAACACUCUGACCAAGAAUUAUACUUUAAAAUAUAACCAUAUUUUACCAAAGUAUAAUAACAUCCAGAAUCUAAACACUCGAACAAAAGUAUCACAAGAAGAACAAGAAUAAAAGUCUUCGGAUGUUGAGCAUUACCGUCAAACCUGGGCAGUUAUGUAAUCGUAAGCUGGGAUAAAUGUAACCUGAUCAACUACAUUUAUCCGAGAUGCGAUGAACGUGUGCUUGGGAGUGAUAGUGGUGUACAACAGGUCUGAAACUUACCAACUAGGAAUGCUAGAGCCAAACAUAAAGUUAAAAUACUAUAGGAGUAUUUUAGAACACUAAAAGAUCCACACUAAUCCCAGAAUGAAACUCAGAAGAUAAGAAUCAAACAAGAAUUAAAAUACCAUAGGGGUAUUUUAGAAUCCAUAAACAACCUUGCGUGAAUAACUAAAAAGAUCCUUAUUGAUAUACCUACAACUACAGAGGAUGUACUCCCAAGGUUAUAUAUAAUAAGGAUCCCAUAGGCUAAGAAUGUGUGGUUUCGCUCUACUUCCUUUUCCUUGUUUGGAUGUGGAUUCCGAGUAGUAUCACAUAUUCGAAGGCCUAUCGGAUCUAAGUUAUAUAUGAUUUGUAUACCCUGUGUAAUCGUAGCAGGACUCGAUAUGGAUCAUACAGUGAAAUGUUAAUAACCUCUUAGGAUUCUUUAGACAUUUUCAUUCUCGCACGAACCCUAUAGAAAACCCUACCCACUUCAUUGCUUGACAGAAGAGUUGAUUCCGACCCCGAAGAAGUUCAUUGAGAAGAUUUCUUGUUCGGAAAUAAAUGAACCGGGUCGAGACUAUUGAAUGCUCCAGGUGCCCAUAUUCUUCUAGGGACAUCGGUGCGAAAUUUGCCUAAACUUCUAAGAUUCCCAGUCGCCCUUUAUGAGGUGAUGACACCCAUAGUCGAAAUUCGGAAGCAAGGCAAAGUAGAGAUUCAAUAUGUCCAUACGAGAAGAAAACCCUAGGAAACUACCCGAAGGAAACCAACGCCGAUUCCAGUCAAAGAUACGAGGCAGACCGAGGGAGCCAGUACAUGGAACCCGGGAAUUGUCUUUUCCUCGUGUUCGUCACGCUAAUACACCCAUAAAAUAAUACAAUUUAGUGAGUUAGUGGUUACACUACUCACGCUAUGUGUUAGGUAAAAUCGUCGUUUUCUGUUGCCAGUUACACGAUUAGGGCAGAUCCCCGCAUCUCUAUUGAGAAAAUUUUAGCCAUCUGCCCUUGUGAGCCUCUCUUUCCGCAGUUUCGUUCCGAACCGUUCUCAAAUCCCUCCAGGCCGGAGAGUGAAACCUUUCCCAGUAUAAAGGUAACUUAGUAGGAACGACUCGCAUCUUGUGGUUUUUUUCCGAUACUCAUACACCCACUUCGAUUACCAAGAAUACAUCGUAGGGAUGAAGGUCGACACUCAGACGACCAGUACCCAAGGCACGGGAAAAAUUUAUGCCUAAUACGUUCAGGACAGAAAUGUCUAGGGUUAACCAUUGUCUCUAAUUACCUUGUAUUCCUUUCCGUGUAGGAAAACCAUGCCACCGAAGAAGCGUAACCAAUCCACAAGGAAGAAACCUGCUCUCUUAUUCGAUGAAGCUACGUUCCAAGCUGCAGUCUUAGCAGCCGUAGCAGCUGUCAUGGCUCACCUGAAUGCUAACACCGCAAAUGUUAGCAAGGGCCCUGUCGGGAUUUCCAAUCCUGGCGAUGGACAGCAGCAACCAACACUUUCAUACCCAGUCACCCAAAAACCUUCACCGAACCCACUAAAGAGAAAACUCAAGAUUGAGGAGGGAAGUACCUCGGCUCAAGGACCUUCUGAAAGGCGACGAGCUGAGGCAGUCUAUACCCCUGUCAAUCCUUCCCUCCCGACCUCAAGAAGACCAUACCUAGGAGACCUUCCCCACUGCAGCAAGUGCAGCUACCAUCAUCAUGGUGUCUGCCGGGAGCUCUAUUGUGCUAGGUGCCACAUGUUGGGGCAUACUGCUCGCGUCUGCAGAACCCCGGUUGAGUUCAUUACAUCAACCACCAAUGUGGCGACCCGUACAGUUUGCCACCUAUGUGGUAAAAUGGGACACUUCAAGAAGGACUGCCCAACCGAAGGGAAAGACAAAGACACAGAAGGAGCCUGACACUACUGCUUAGGGAGAAGCGGCAAGGAACUCGUUAGAUUUUGGUACGUCUCUCGAUCUCGGAUAACUAAACUAAGAACAAUAAAAGACUAAUUCAAAUGUAAAUUCUUCCCAGUAAGGCGAAAGUCGCAGCACUGUUAUAAAAUUUAAAAUUCAUUAGGUAAAACUAUAAUGGCUAAACAUAUACGUUACGGCCAUGUAUAUUUAAGAUGGACAGACCUAGAGUGAGCGAAUGCCGCCUCAUUUCCUGUUCCUCGUUUGGUUGUGGAUUUAGGGCGGGGUCGCUCAGUCAACAGUCCUCCCCACCUUAAAUAUACAUGACUAGUAUAUGUGAGGCGAUUAUAGAAAUGCCUUGUGAGAAUCCACACAUGAAAAGGUAUUCUAUUCGGAAACACUUAGGACCCUCUAUAGUUCCGCGUCGACUCUAUCGGUCCAAGUAUCCGCGGUAGUGAUACAUAGGACGAAACCUGAGAUGUCUAGAACUUGUGUGCCUGUUCGGCACAUGACUCUAUUGAUCUUCCUUAUAUAUCAUGUCAGAGUGUGCCAACUUCGACGACUCUAUUGAUCAUGGUUCGACUACGUGCAGCCAUGUGUACAUUCUUAGUGUUGUGUAAAAAGAACUUUCUCCGUAGCCAUGUCGGCAAAUAAAGGUUCUUCUGAAACUAAACAUAUCGCAAAUAAUCAAACUUAAUGCGAUCCGCCAGCCGUCCCUCUUAUCUCAAACCUUCCGAAGUACCCAAGAGAGGGUACCCUGCGCCGUUGACCGACCCCCCGUAGUCAGAUGGAAACCGAAGUGAAAGACACUGUAGAUACUCUAGAAGACGACAACCAUCUGAAGCAUACUUCAUAGUUUCCCCAGAAAGACCUCUCUCACCUCGCACGUCAGGUUUGUAAGCAUAGAGAUUAGAACUCAUAAGGAAUGACCACCAUAACCAGGUAUAUGCGUAAAGAUGGUAUAUAAUUGAGAUCAAAAAGAUUUAAGGUGUGUGUUUCCUCCCUACUCCCUGUUCCUCAUUGGGUUGUGGGUUUGGGGUGGAGUCGCACAGCUGAACAUCCUGCCAACCUCAAUUGUAUAAUGCUUGCAUACACCAAGUACUGGUGGUUAAGCCAAGCAUGAGCUCUACCACGAACCUCUUUGCAAAACACUUUCACCCUAUUCCAUAACAUAGGAGCCGGAGUCAAGAGAAUCAAUGCGGGUUAAGCUAGUAAAGUUCCGAGUGAUGAGACCCUAUACUCACUAGAAUUGACCUAGGCCUAUGAAACUUAGAACCUUCGGAAGAGUAGUUGCAGUAGAUGCUCUUACUACUCAGGCACCUUGCCCACCCUGUUAUAGACAGGUAGUGCCUAUCACCCUCCACCCUCUUGUAUGGAGGAAAUCGUCGUCGCCCUGUAGACGAUAGACUUCAUUCUCCGAAGUGAACACUAGGAUACCGAGAACCACAGGAUAACCUCCGCAGCUAAGAAUACUUGAUCAAAGUGCGGAAUUAGUUGCGUUAAACCUCAUGAUCCAGAUCCCGAACAGGUUAUAGACUUGACACCAGUCCUGGUGUUAGUCGAAAGGUUAUGCAGGAACAUACGCUUUCCGCACUAGAAUAAACCAAAGUCUUAGAGAUUAAUUGGACUAUUAGGUGUUCCACGAAUACCAUCUCACGAGGAGAUAGUAGAACCACCUCCCGAGAUAGUCCAGCACUCGUAUAGUGAAACCCUAUCUCCCCGACCCUCAGGGUUUCCGUAUCUCAAGGAUCGUUAGUGUAGGUUCAUUUUGCACGAGCUUGAGAUAGACACUCUACAGCAGACAGAUAACCAUAGUCACGCAACCCAUUCGACGAUCUAGAAAGUCUCUAACAACCAGUUGUCAAGAAACGCGAAACAAAAGACCACCCGAGCUCCCUAAGAACCAACCUGAAGGACUACACACACAGUACGAGUGAGAACGUUAGGAACUUCUGAAUGGCGAUCACACCAGUGAUGAUCUUGCCAUAGAAGUACACUAUGUUUUGAGUACCGAAAAGCUCUACCAUUCCGAGAGCUUAGGACCAUAUGAGAAUUCUCACGGAGACUUGGUCCAACCCUUUUCAGGCCGCUACUACCUUCGGAUGCACCACAAGAUUCACACCCGGUCGAUCCACUUCUUAGACUUGAUAUGCGAUUACUCGACAUCACUCUUCGUGCCUCACUCAUCUUGAUAGAAUCCAUUAAGAACCCUAACCUUGUAGAUACACCAGUCGGAACCCACUAGCUACACGAGACGAAAUCCGCAUCCCGUACGUGAAGGUCUGUUGGAAUGACAAACACAGACUAGAGUUCACUGGGGAAUGCGAGGACAAACCAUAUAGGAAGUACUCUCUUACCUCUACUUGGACCUUCAUACCUACUUCCUUGCCUAGACCUGAAUUUCGGGACGAAAUUCCCUCUAACGGGGGAUGAUGUGACAACCCAAGUUGUUCCGUUACAUUUCCCCGUUACCGUUAACGGAAUAUUCCAGUUUAUAAAAGUUCUGUUAAUUAGAGGUCGUCAAUUUAAUAAACAUUCCAUUUAUUUACAAUUAAUAUGUCGUUAAGUCGUGAUAAAAGGAAAUAAAAACACAUGACACACAUUUCCAUUUAAUUGGAAAAAGUUAGUUUUUAUUAUUACGACCACUAAAUCGGGUGCGACCAAAAGCCCCGUAUAACGGCAGUAUCGGGUAGAUUCCCACUGAGCUCCAACUCCCACCCAUAUAUAAAGGGGAGUAAACCCCAUUUGGAGACUUUUUACACUCUCUCUCUAGACUCGUUUUCGCCCCGAAUCCGCAACCAAACGCUUCCAAAUCGUAAGUCCACUUACCCUAGCUUAUUCUAAACAUAUUGAUUCAUGUUUAUAGCUUAGAAAUCGUACAUAGAAGCUGUGAAAGAGGAGUUUAUGGCCUAAGCUCCUCCUUAGGCCGUAAACCCCUAAAUCUAGGCCAAAUUGACCCCAAAAUGUCCCUAAAUGCUUGGAAACUAAUAGAGGAAUUAGCCUAGGAGUUUUUACACAUUUAAAACAAUCAAAUUUGGGCAUAAAAGAGAGUUUACGGCCCAAGCACAUGCUUAGGCCGUAAACACCUCUAAAUCUUGUUAAAAUGCUCCAAAAACACUCCCAAACCACCCUUAGGCUUAAUACAAAAUUUAGGGACUUGAUAUUUCGGGUUUUGAUCAAUUAAACACAAUAAAAUGAAGGGACAAAAGGAGUUUAUGUCCCAAGCAUGUACCAGGGCCGUAAACACCCUUAAACAUUUUAAAACAUUAAGUUUUGUCCGCCAAAUGGCCUUAGACUAUUUCUAUAAAAUGCUAGGAAGGUAUUAGGGGCUUAAAACUUCACUUAACUCAAGGAAAAGGAGUUUACGGCCAUGAACUCCCUUGGGGAUGGUCAUAGGCCGUAAAAUCCCUAAAGAAGCCCUUAGGAGCCUUAAACCCACUCAUGCCUUUUUGGAAUUUGACUUAGAAAAAUCCCACUAACAAGAUUAAGCUUUGAAACACACUAGAACCCCUCACCAUGAGUUUACGGCCGUAAACUCAUGGUGAGUAGUCCCUGGGCCAUAGACUAAGCUUUGGGAGUUUACUCUCGGAGAGUAAACUCCAUUCCUAAGCCAUUUGAGCCCUUAGAUGCUACCCGGGACACCCCAAACACUUAUCCAAAGUGUUUUCCGCUCCUUUGAGCGUGUAUACUUGUUUAAUUAGUAUUAAAUAUACUAAUUGUAUGUGAACAUAUGUUAUCAUAUGUUAAAUAGGUCAUUGAGUGUGUUCGAGUCUUUACGUGACACCGAACGCCCAAACGACACCUUCGUCGGACCUAGUUACACCAGGUGAGUUCAUACCCUUGAAUGAACCUUUUAAAUGUUUUCACAUGUUUUAUAGGGGGGAAUACAAGUUAAACAUGCCAGUUAUCAUAUCAAUCACAUGUGAUUGAUAACCUGCAUGCACAAUGAUUUACCACACUGUAUACUGUUUUACCGAGUAGGACACUAUAAAUGGUUUUCUAAAAGGGUUUUCACUCGUUCAAGUUCUUACUUUUACUGCUUUAUCAAAGUUUCAUUUCAAACUAAUUUAUGAAAGGUUUCCAAAGAAUUUCUAAAAGUUUUAAAUCAAACAUAUUUCACAAAGGAAUACCAAGUCGUGAUUUUCUUAAAAUAUAAAGGUUUUCCAAAGUUUACGUCUAUGUUUUUAUACUUAUACUUGAUAACGUUUCCACUUCGUGAUACAUUUAUACCUGAUGGACGCUUUUACUUGUUCACACUCUUACUUAGUGAUACGUUCCUACUUCAGUUAUACUUGAAAUCGCUUCUACUUCACUUAUACUCGAUACGCUCCUACUUCACUCGAUGUCACAUCUACUUCGAGAUACGCCUAUACUUGUUAGACACUCCUACUUCACUUGUUGACCGCUCUUACUUCACUUGUUAGACACUUCUACUUCACUUGUUGAACGCUCUUACUUCACUUGUUAGACACUCAUGCUACACUUGUUGAUUUCUCUUACUUCACUCGUUAGACACUCCUACUUCACUAGAAUCACUCCUACUUGUUACACACUCAGUAGUAGAUAGAUGUAUGUCUGUGCUUGUAUAGGUACAUAUAAAUAAUGACUGAAAGACUUAGGAAGGCUCAUCCGCCCUAUUUCCUUUUCUUCGUUGAGAUGUGGUCUGGUGGGAUCGGAUGGCCGUCCGAAGGUCUUUUGGUUCAUUAGUUAUAUACUAUGUAUAUGAGUAUGGACAUACAGGAAUUCUCUAGUCAGUUCAGUUAAGAGCCUCUACCUCUAGUCUACACUUACAUUAGAAACACACUACCCACUAUUUGGAAGUCUCUACCUCUAGUUCAGCACUUACACACUACCCACUAUUUGGAAGUCUCUACCCACUAUUUGGGAUGCAUCUUCAGGACACGGCCUUCUCCGUCGUCUAGUUGGUAACCAGAAUCUCCUGUAGGGAGAGCGGACAUUGUGUGUAUAGAUCUAUACGGGAUUGACAACCCCGCACCCAGACCGCUAGCUACAGCCCGGGCCUACCAAGCCAACGGGUGACAAAUGUCAUAUUUUAGACGCUUGUAGGGCGUCUGGUACUCUAGUCAGUAUGGUUACGAGUAUCUCGGGUUACCUUUUAAUUCAUUGGCCUUAAGGUAACAGUAUUUCGCCAGAAAUUUACACUGUAUGCUGGUAUCUCAUUUUCAGAGUCACUGUUUUGACCUUACGAGACGUAUCUUUCAUUUGAUACUGUCUGGGGUCUGUAUUCUCUGUUUGACCUUACAAGACGUAUCUUUCAUUUGAUACGGUAUGGGGUCUGUAUUCACUAUUUUAGACCUUACCAGUUGUACCUUUCAUUUGGUGCCUUCUGGGGUCUGUGUCUCCACUUGUUAGACUGGACCAGGCAUGUCGUUUGUUCGAUACUUUCCUGGAGUCUAUGAUUCCCUUGCCUUAGUCAGCAGUCCUCACUGCUGAGGCAUAUGUAUUUCCCUGACGUCUCUUGCUUUCUUUAAUAAUCAAAUUCAGUAUUUUGAUAAUGAUAGCAAUUAAGGGAAAACUACUUUUUACCACAUAACACUGACCAGUCUUGGUAGAAGGCUGCUUUAUUAAAGAAAAUAUAGGAUUUUCUGGAAAGAAUUCUAAUACACAGUAACACUUAAACUACUACUUUAUAAAGUUAUUUGAAUAAAUGUCACUAAAUGCUUAUGAACUCACCAGCAUUUGUAAAAAUGCUGAUACUCGCUUUUCAAAUAACUUGUAUUCUCAGGUUAGCAUUAGACAGGUACACCCCAGGAGCUGUUGAUGAAGAUAGCUUAGUACCUUGCUGUACUUAUUACAUUUGUCUGUAUUACUUUGAUACUUUGUAAUGUAAACUAUGUAAAACUAUUACUAUUAAUGCAAUGUUUUGUUGUACUUUGAUUACUAUAAUGCAUGUGUUGUGAUACUUGACAUGACGUCAUCCACCCCAGAACGUUUCCACCGUUCCGGUUUUGGGGUGUGACAAUGUCUCCUUGUGAGUCAAAUUGGGAAUUCUCUCCAAUUGUAUCCAUGUGACUACUCGUGGCGACUCAUCUACCUUCUAACGCGAUGCUCCAAUCGUCAUAUGUGUCGGUAUCGGAACGCUUUUCCUAGUUGUAACACUAGUACGAAGACAAUGAAGAGGUAUUGAGGAAUAAUUGAUAUUGGUUUCGAAUUAGGAUUAUUACAAAUGGUUAUCUAGCUACUAACUAUACGUCUAAAGUCAAUAGCUACCGACGAAUACUCAAUCUUAAUACUAAGUGGAUUGCACCUAGAGUGGCUAGUGAUAUAACCUUACUAGUUAGCCUAGCACUUGAUAAGCGAUAAGAAUAUUUGUAAAUAAAGACAUUGUGAUAAAAGUGCACUUAGUUUAUAAGUGUACCUAGAUGGAUGCCUAUAAUAUGCAAUGCCCAUACGCACACCGAAAAAUUUUAUUUUUUCAAAAGUUUAAGUUGAAAAUCAUUUUGAACAUAAUUCUACUAUAACUGUUUCCAGCCUCGCAUUAGUUUUCCUUAGUUAAGCAUACUUGGCUAGACUAUACUUAAUUAAAGUCCAAUAAUGCAUACUCGAAUUGCUUAUACAAGUAGUAUGUUCAGUAUUGUAAAAAUGUUUUGAAAUUUUUUGGCUAUUAUUGUGGUUCUCCAAAGGAAAAUCGGUAUUCUCUAUAACCUUUGGCUAUGAUACCGUUUUUGUCACACUUCGCUAAAGUGGAAACACGAGGCGCAACAGUGCAACAUGUCUCAUAGUAAAAGUUAAAAGACAACACCCACCAUAGUAUUAAAAGCUUUACAAUUUAAAAUAAGUUUGAACAACUUUUAAAAGUAAUUACAACGUAUUAAAAUAAAACAACACACACAAAUGCUCCUACAAGUGUUCUGUCUCUAUGUACCUCUUACUAGAUGAUUCCUGAAAAAGCAUGUAAAACGAGUGUCAACUAUAAAAAUAGUUGCUGAGUUCACAGGUUUAAGAAAAUAUUGGUUUCAUGAAUCUUAAUCAAGGUUUUGACAGAAGUUACCAUAAAUAAAAGUACAUUGCUAAAAUAAGUAAACAAGUUUGCAUAAACAAAGUUCGUUGUCAUCAUGAAAAAUAAAGUACGUUGCCAAAAUGAGAUGCGAAGUUCAUUUUCUCAUGGGAAAUAAAUUUCAUUGCUAAAACGAAUAAACAAGUUUCGUUGCUAAAAUAAGUAUACAAGUUUCAUUGUUAAAAUGAGUAAACAAGUUUCUAUGUAUGUAAUAAUCUUUAUAUGCAUAUAACAAUCAACUGUGAGCUCACAACCAAACGUAUGACUGAUUCCCUAUCAAGAUUUAUGCUUAUCAUUCCAUAGAUGAACAUGCUAAAAGGCACUCAAGCAAUCGGGCAAGUGAGGAGUUGUCAAUUCCUAAUAGCGCUAUUCGUAAUGACCAUUGGCUCAAAGUGUUAAUGUUUAGAGUAAAGUGUAAGGGAAUUAAGACGAUAAAGCCUCAUGUUUCAAGUUGUGUACAAAUACAUAGAAAAAUAUCGCAAUCAAGUUUGAUACAAUUCAAUAUAGAUACAUCAAACGUAAAUAGUUAGGACAUGCUUUUCCAUCCCAAAACAUUUAAAAACCGAAAAUAGGGGAUGUGAAUAAGCAUAAUUCUUUGAGAUGAUGCAAAUGAUGCCUUGAACUAAAUUCAAAAUGACCUACCGAUGCCCUACAAUAAUGGUAUAUACUAGUGAGUCUCUAAUCAAAAUGUAACUCUAGCAUACUUAACUUCUACAAUAGAAUUAUGACAAUAUUGUGUCAAAGUUAGGUUUUGUAUAAGUUGCAAAUGAUUUUCUUCAAAUUUAGAUUUCCAUAUAUCAUUUGACUUGUUAACAUUUGCAAGUGACAAAUCCCAUUUUGUGUUAUUGUUUAGAAAUGUAUUUUAGCACUUUUGGAAAGGUUUUACAAGCUAAAAAUCAAGAAACUAAAUCAAAACAGUUCUAAAAAUUUCCAAACUUUAGAUUUCAGUUCUAACCAUAAUUUAGAAUCUCUUUGUAAAUUUUCAUGAUUUGUAAAUAUGUUUAACUAUUUUCCCACCAUUUAAUUCCUUGAAAACAUCAUAAAAUGGUGAAAAAUAUUAAACAGUUAAGAACAAUUCCCAAUCUUUUUGUAAAACAAUUGUACAAUGUAUAUGAGCUGGGAAAAAUAUCAAAAGUGGUUUUCAUACAGUGGAGUCUUGUCACACCCCCAAAGCAGGAUGGCGGAAAUGUCCAGGGGCGGGUGACUAUCAUGUAGUGUAUCAUAACAGUUGAGUAUAAAUGUUCAAAGCAAACACAACCAACAUAUAUAUAAUUGAAAAAGUUACAUCAUUUGUACGUAUUACAUGUUUCAAAAUAUCAAUUACAAUAUGUUGUCAAAAGAUUUGUUUAGACGCCUAAGCGUCCCAUCCUCAAAGCUAGUUGUUACCUGAUUUACUGAUUUCCUGAGAAUACAAGUUAUUUGAAAAGAGAGUAUCAACAUUUAGGUUGGUGAGUUCAUAAGCAUUUGUAUGUAUAUUUGUAAACCUUUUCUAUGAAAUCUAGUAAUGUUUGUUUUCCGGAAAAUCCUAUAUUUUCCCUAAAAUGAGAUGUGGCCUUAAAUGAACCAAGACCGAAGCGUAUAAGUAGUUUUCCUACUUAAAAUGAUGUUAUGCAGUUUUGUUUGUAUAUAAAACUGUUUGAAGACUGUCUUUGCGUAAACUAAAAGUUUCAUUGUUGUUUUACGUGAGUUUUAAUUUUUAUCUUAUAACCAUGCUUGAUUGACCCAGACUGCCUUGUUCGCAACGUUCUUCAGGUGUCGAUUUUGCUUAUGACAUUUGUCACCCCCAGACCUGCCGGUCUAGCUGUUGCAAGCAGCUAAGGUGCGGGAUUGUCGGUCCCAGUAUAGAUCUAUACACAACUAUCACGCUCUCCCUACAAGAGACUCUGGUUAUAUUUAACAGGACUUUCGUGUGUACUUUAUAAGGUACCGUGAAGACAAAACUCACUAAAUUUGUUCAACGAGUUUACGUGUUUUUGUGUUGAAAAUGUUUGUAUAAAUGAUCAUCCCCUAAGACUGGGAUAGCUAUGAAAAACGACGUGAAAUCUUUAGAUAUGCAUUUGACAAUAUUUUACCCUUUGCUCAACAGGAUACAAAUGGAGUAGAGUUUCGUAAACUAUAUAUGUAUAUUUUUGAUGUAGAAGACAAGUUUGUAAACAAAACAUAUAUAUGUAAAUGGUUAUAUAUAUGUAUAAAUUUUAAAAGAUGAUUUGGUAUGUUUCGUAAUUGUUGUUCAUAUUCUUACGUUUUUAUUAGAAACUUUGCAUGAAAUAAUCCUUAAGUUUGAUACUAAAGACCUUUUUGUACUUAUCACUUUUGUAAAAAUUGUAAUUAAACAUAUUUAAAUGAUUGUGUUUUAACUUCCUUAAUGUAUAAACAUUGCUCAAAAAUGUUAGAAGGUGUUAAUAAAUCUAUAAACCACUUUUGACAGUUUUACCCUUUACUGUCCCUGUUUUUAGAAAACUCAUAGAAAAAUCAUCGUAAGUCAAAAACUGAAUCCGUCACCUCUGAGAGUUUAUAAAAUGAGUCUACUUUGUUCCUAAUUUUUAUUAUGAUUUUUAGUGGUCUCAAACUAGUGUGAAAAUGAACAUCUUCACAGACUGGUCCGAAAUCACUUCUGAAAUGACAGGCAGUUUUAUAAAAAUCGCCAUAAAUUGUAGAAAAAUCGUAUGAAUGCGUGCGAGUAGUCCUUAGAAAGGUAUAAACUUGAACUAUUUUCAUAUUGUACAGUUUUGAAAGAUAUUAAGUUUAAGAUGGUCAAAACAGUCCGUGAACAGGACUCAACUUUUCUGUAGAAAGCUGUCAUUUAAAUUUAAGUUAUGUUUAGUGUUCUAACUUGUAUUCCCCCCCUUAAAACUUGAAUAAAACAUGAAAAUGUAGGGGUAUGAACUCACCUUAUGUGAAUACUUGAAGAAUGGAAGGUUGAAGAUGAACUUUUGGUUGUUGGUUUGAUGCUCCAAAACAGCCACUCUUUUGGCUAUGUUGCUGUCACGAAAAUUUCACAGCAAAAGAGCAAGAAAAAGGGUAGUUUACUCACUGUUUUGAAUCAAUAAUUUUGAGUAUCAUAACAAGUAACUUCCAGGGGUAUUUGGUGGUAAAAAUAUCAAGCAAAAGAAAGAUGUAGAUGGGUGAAAUGGUGGCUGAAACACAAAAGGGACAACAACCCUUUAGUUCAUGGUUUUGAUGGCUUUGGAAGGAAGUUCUUAUGGCUGAAAAUGAGAUUAAGGUUGAGAGUAAUUCCCUGGAGUAUUGGCUGGUGAAUUUAGGGUAAAAUGAUGAGAAGAUUUCGUGAUUAUGAAGGAGGAAAGGGUGGAAGAGGAUAAGGGGACAAAACCUAGACUAGCUUGUGAUGGGAUGUGAGUUUAAGUGAUGUGAUCUUGUCUAGCCACUUGCUUGGGUGGUUGCUUAGAGAUAGAGUUAGUUAACUAACUAACUACUAGUUAUUUAGUUAGUUAGGAGUUCUAGUUAAGGAGAGGGAAGGUCUUAAUCUCGAAAAUUAGAAGAGGGAUUAAUAAGCAUUCUUAGUAAAAUGUCUUAAGUGAUUAAGCACUUAUUAGUUAAGUUGGCACUUAUCUCCACCAAUUCUCUUAUCUUAAUUGAUUUAGACAUCAUAAAACUUACAUGAAAUCAUUUUAAUUCAUGACUUAUAACUAGUCAUUCACUAGAUAAUAAUACAUAUAUACAAAUACAUACAUGUAUACUUAGUNAUUCACUAGAUAAUAAUACAUAUGUACAAAUACAUACAUGUAUACUUAGUAUAAAAUAACAAUGUAGUUUAUGUGUAUUUGAACUUUAAUGUUUAUGUUUUAUUCUUUUUAUUCAAAAACACUUAAAUACAUUCUAAUUAUACCUUAUAAUAAUUCAUUUUAUAUUUUUAUUUAUUUAAAUAUAAAAUUUAUUGACCAAUGUAUAAUUUCGUGACAUUUAACCGGUUAAUCAUAUCGUUAAAUACGUUUUGUCACUUUGGUUCGUAUAUUUGUCAAAUUUAGAUCCUCCACAUCUAUUAAAUAAACGUUUUACAUAGAACCUAACUUACUUAUCAACUAGAGACAUGUUGAUACAAAAAUUAAGUUUGUUGCGUUUAAAUGAUGUUAUAUGCUAAUUUCACAAACCGGUGAUGGUUCGUAGUCAUACAUCAUAACGAGAUUUAUCAAUAGUUACUUGUUUUAUAUUUCACAAUAACUUAUUUAAAUAAAAGAGGUUAAAUUCCUUCAACCAUUCUUGAUAAAAUACUCAUAUUGCUUAAUAAUCAAAAUAGCAUCGUGCGAUCGUUCCUAUUUUUACCAAUUGUUACAAGUCUAGUUUUGGAUUUAUAGGUGUUUCAUUUUAGGAAAAUAGAAAUAAAUAGUAAACAGUUAAAUUAAAUAUCCAAACUCUUUAUUUUAGAUUAGAAUAUCAUAAAGUGAUUUUUGGUAUGUUUAUAUGAUUUUUGGAAUGGUUUAUCUAGUUUUCCUUAUUUAUCCUAUUAAACAAGGAUUUAAAUUGUGAAAAAUAGUAAACAAUAACGAAAAGCCACUACACUUUUUAUUUGAUCUUCUACUAUAAUAGACGACGUACCGGUACAGUUUCAUGAAUUUUGGAUGCGUAUAACUAUUUUUACCAAUUUUAGCCCAUUAAAUACACAAAAAUCAUGGAACAUAGGAAUAGAAUAUGAAAAAUUCCCAAAAUAUUGUUCAGUGUAUUACACAUAGUUUAGAAGUAGUGAAAAACUAUAUAUGUUCAUUUCACAAUCCCGAAUGUGGUUUUAUGAUUUAUUUGAGUUACAAAAAGAGAAAAUCAAAAAUCAUAUCAAAUUGUAAUAAAAGUUGGUGAAACUUAAUGAGAGUCUUUUACUUACUACAUGAAUCAUCCACAAAUUUAUCUAGGGUUUAUAAACCUCAAAAAGUAUUUUAUAUUAUUUAUGGCCUUAUUUCCUUGCACGAUUUAUAAUAAGUCAACAAAAAUGAACUAAUACAUGAAACUUUCCAGAUCAUAUUAUUAUACAACGGACAUUAUGGGAAAAAUCGGUUUUAGAUAGAAAAUGAGUUUUACAUAUUUAUUUGUGACUAAAUCAUUUUUGAAUAUUUUGAAAGCUUUUAACAACAAACUUUUAAGUUUAAAUAUCAUCACAUGCAUGUUGGUUUAAGGACCAUGCAUGGACUUGAUUUGUUGAAAAAUGAAGUUUUUAAGAAGAAAACUCGGAUACAUGUGGUUGAUGAACUUUAAAACUUGUAAAAACUCAUUUUCUUGGAUUUGACAUAGGCUUAGGUCAUUGUUUUUCACCAUCUAGCAACAUGCAAGAUGUUUUUGGUGAAAACCUACCACCAUUAUCAUCAAAUCUAAAGUGCAUGAAUAUGCACAUGGAUUUUCAAAAAGAAAGGUGUAUAAGAAGAAGAAAAUGCAAGAAAACUAGAGAUUUUUGAACGAAAAGUGUAGAAGAUGUAAGUGAUUUGAUUUUACCUUGAUGAAUGACUCUACAUGAUGAACGUUUUUGAGUAAAAUGAUGGAUAUUUAGCUGGAAAAUCAUAGGCUUUAGUGCUGAUUUAUAAAGGUAAAGAAUGAGGGUUUUGGAGAGAAAAGAGAGAUUAUAUCUCUCUGGAUACCCGAUAUCUCUCGUCAUCCCUUUAGGGUUUCCUUUCAAUCAAAUCGGUCACCAAAAUAUAGAAAUGUAUACAAACUCAUGAAGAGUUGAUGGGCUAAAUCUCCCCUAUAGAUUUUGCUUCUAUGUUUGUUAGUUUUAGAGAGAAGAAAGAGAGAAGUUUUUAGAGAGAGAAAGACAAAGAUGGAGUUUGGAAAAUGAGGGAUGUGAUUAUGAUUUUGGGAAGAGUUGUAUGGGGAGAGUGGACGAAAUUAUUAGGUGUAAUAUCCUAUAUUUUCUCUUUUAUCUUUAUAAAGUUUAAAUCUUUUAUAAAAAUAUCAAUUUUUAUUAUAAAAUAUGCAACUUACCUUAGGUUUUAUUAAUAAAACUCUUGAAUUUUAGACUAACAAUUAGGGGUAUAUGCUGAAUUAUUUUAACUUAUAUCCUCAUUGGUUAUAUUUCCAAAAUUUAGUUAUUCUAUGAUGUUGUUAUAAGUUUCAUAACCAUUUCUAUAAAUUUUGAUAUUAGAUUCAUAAGCAUUAAGAUUUUUUUAGGGCUUUUAGGGUUUUAAGGAGUUUGUAUGUCUGUGGAUACCAGAAUUAAUUGAAUUUUUUAGACUUCAAAUUAUGUUAGAGUUUCAUAACUUUUUUAGUUUAAAAUAAUGUUUGUAAUUUGCUUUUGUCUAUAUUGGCAUUUCUUUGUAGUGAUUCCAAGAUUGAAGGGAAACGAAAGAAUCAAGUAUACUAGUCCUAGUUUUCAACUUUGACUUAAGUUCCUACGAGACUCUGACCUAAUUUCUACUAGUAGGUCAAUGCAUGAUGUGUCUAGAUGAAUAUGCAAAGAUUCUCGAGUCAAGUAAUGACCUGAAUUGAGAUAGUUAUUAAAAUUAAUGGUGUUAUAGAAAUCAUAUAUCAACAUGAAAUCUAUGUACACUAUCUCUCAUUUAUAAUUGUUUCUAAGUUUCUAUUAUCUUAGCCUCUAACUUCCAAGACUAGCAUGUGUCAUGCAUAUACGUGCAACUAAGUUUAUUUAAAUAUAGAACUGUCUCGAACUUUAACGUUUGUUACACGCAGCGUACGCACCCAUUAAGCACGUAGUGCUAACAACCAGACGUCCAAACUUCAUAUCGAAGCCUUAGGAACGUUGUAAUCCAUAAAUUUAAUUACUUGGAGCCUUUACAUAGCUCACAUAAACUCAAACCUAGAUUUAGCAUCCUACUUUCAUCAAAUGGAUACAAACAUACACAUGGUUUGUCCUUAACCAUCAAGAUACUAACUUUAUGGACUAUGGACCUGAAAAACAUCAAGAUAAGCAACUCCUAACUUUUGGAGUGGAAUAAUCCCACUAGAUCUCAUUCAUGGGACCAAAAAGUGCACAAAACUCCAUAGAACUUCAUCUAAGCAUACAGUGAGCAAGUUCCAAGAUUUAUAUCUCAAUGAAGCUAGAAAUGAUGAGUGAAAUCUGGAUCUGCAAGCUCUCUCUUGAUCAAAUUAAGCUCCUUCUACAAGAUUUUUCUACCUCAAGGUUCACCAACUCACACUAAAACAUACAUAAAUAGGUCAAAUCUUCUCUAGAUGGGUUAGGGUUUCAAAAAGAGGCUCAAACGGUAAUGGAGGCUGAGAAAUGAAGGGAUCAUGGGUCAUAAUGAUGUUUAAAUAUGGUCCAACCCCUAAAAAUUAAGGUUUGUCCCUAGAUAACGGACGCCUAGUGUACAUACAUCCCCUUUAAAGUUUCACCUUCCACCCCUUGAGACCAAAUUUGCAAAUUAUUUACACACUAAGGGCCAAUAUUAAAAGUACCUUGAAUCGGAUGUUACAAUUCUCUCCCACUUGAAUUAGAUUUCGUCCUCGAAGUCCACUACCGUAAAUAACUCUGGGUAAUGCUCCCUCAUCUCAUCCUCAGGCUCCCACAUCCAUUCUGACCCCUUUCGAUGUUGCCACUACACCCUUACUAGAUCCCCCACCUUGUUUUGAAGAGUUUUUGUCAUUUUGUCAAGGAUCACCAUUGGUCUCUCUAUAUAAUUCAGGAAAUCAUCCACCUGAAUGUCCUCCAAUUGAACCGUUAUGGAAUCAUCAACAAAACACUUCUGCAUCUGAGAGACAUGAAAAGUGAUAUAAAUCUGAUUGAUCUCCUCCGACAGAUCCAAAUGAUAUGCCACCCCUCCCACCUAGGAAAAAACAUGAAAGGACCAAUAUACCUAGGACCCAGCUUACCCAGCUUCCUGAAUCAGAUGAAACAUUUCAAGGUGACGCCUUUAGGAGUACCAUAUCUCCAACCUAAAACUCCAGGUCUGACUAGCGUCUAUGUGUAUAGCUCUUUUUUCGACUCUAUGUUCUCUAAAGUCUAUCGCAAACCUGAUGAAUCAACUUCGUUGUCUUGAGUACCACCUCGAUACUCCCCAUGACCUGCUCUCUGACCUCACCCCAAUAUAUAUGGAUCCUACACUUCCUCCCAUAGAGCAUCUCAAAAGGAGGCUGAUCAAUGAUGAUAUGAUAACUGUUAUACAAAAAUUUUGCCAAAGUAAGAUACGUAUCCCGACUACCGUCGAAAUCCAGUACAAAAGCCCGCAUCAUGUCCUCCAAUGUUUGGAUAGUCUGCUCACUCUGACAAUCAGUCUGCGGGUGGAAAGUCGUGUUGAAGUAUAGACGAGUGCCCAACUCAUCGUGGAAUCUCUUCUAGAACUUGGAAGUAAGCCGAACAUCCAUAUCAGAGACCACAGAAACCGGAACUCCAUGUCGUGCCACCACCUCCCGAAUGUACAUACCGACCAACUUCUCUGCCGAAAUACUCUCCUGGAUCAGAAUAGAAUCCGCGCUCUUGGCCAAUUGAUCCACGAUGACCCAUAUCGAAUCCACUUUGUGCACUGUCUGAGAAAACCUUGUGAUAAAAUCCAUCUUAAUCUCUUCCCAUUUCCAAACGGGAACUUCCAACGGCUCCAUUUUGUGGUGGGGUCGCUGAUGUUUAGCCUUGACUUUCUUGCAAGUCAAGCAUCUCUACACAUAACAGGCCACAUUUCAUUUCAUGCAUGGCCACCAAUAGUCAGGCCGAAGAUCCCUAUACAUCACUGUUGCUCCGGGAUGAAUAGAGAAUCUCGAUUUAUGUGCCUCCUCCAUCGAUACCUCAUGCAGACCACCCAAUAUGGAACCUACACUCUCCAAUGAAGGGUCAAUAAUACCCGAAUAUCAUAAUCAAAGGAAGCCACUUGACCCACUAUGUGCUCACUCUUCUAACGUUCUUCCUGUUGGGUUUUGAGCAUUCUAACACUUCCUAAGUGUACAUGCAACCCUAAAUACCUUGGAUCUAUGUUUUCUCUAUUAUACAUGCAAAUAAGAACUUCCAAGGUAUUAUCCUAAUCUAGCAUAUAAAACAAUGGAUAUAGUAGGAUAGAAUACAUACCUUUUUGGUGUAGUAAGUCUUCAUGAAGCUUGAGUGCUUAGUGCCCCAAGUGUGACACCUCAAAUGGAAUCACAAUCAUCAAAACACUUGGAAUGACUUGAGAGAAUUCUACACUCAUCAAAAUCGGCUAGCCCUUUCUUCACUAUCUCUAGUGGCCGAUUUUUCCUCAAUAAUAAGAUUCUUAUAUAGUUACACAAUUAGGGUAAACUCUUAAUUGUCAUGGCUUUCCAUUUCCUUGGAUCCAUGGGUACAAAUACACCAUGGAGCAUCCAUGGACCAUCCUAUGGGUUUUAGCCCAACUUGAUUAUCCAUGGAGCAUUAGCCCACUAUACAAGUAUGGAUGAUUUACACAAUCAACCCAUAUAUUUAAUUAGUCUUCUUUUGAUCACUUAAUUAAUCCUAGAUUAAUUCUUGAUCAAUACUAAUUAAAUAAUCUUAUUAUUCUUAUUAUUAAUAUACUAGAACUUAUAAUAUAUUAAUAACCAUAAGUGUCUUAUUUCUCUCAUUCAAGUGCAUGAUGGUAUGCAACCCAAAUGGACCAUGCCGGGUCGGGUCAAGUCUUACCAAAUAUAGUUAUGGACUUAGACAUUAAUCCAACAGUCUCCCACUUGGAUAAGUCUAAAACUAUUAUUGCGUAUGACUUCAGGAACCAACCGGCAAUCGUAGCUCUCAAAAGCUUCUGUCGAACUCUGACCUUGUAGAUGAACUCUGACCUUUGUCAGUGACUUGUCCAUUAGAUAAGGGAUCAUAUAUUCCUCCAUUCUAGAUAUCAUAUGGACUGAGACAUGGAUUAUAAUCAUUCUCUCUGUCCAUUUGUUGUUUCCCGAUUUCCGAUUUAUGACGACUGACUAAUUGAACAAAUCAAAUCAGUCCUGGCCCGGCCGAGCACUUCCAUUUGUCAUCAUCAAAUCAUCGAGGGGCCCACAGAUAUCGCUUUUAUCCCGAAGGUAAAAGGAACGGAUAAACUUCGACUCAUAUGGCUUGUUCUACUACUUGUUGAAUCAUACACAAAGGCACGUUUUAUAGCACCGAGUUACCAAAUGCGUUUUCGUGCUAUCAAUGUACUAUCAACUCAUAGUAACAACUCAUAUCUCUAGGUUUGAAGAAUAUAAGAUAUUAUCGUCUCAUGAUCACUCGUGAUAAAAUCCAUGAAGUGAUUCCAAUGAGCGCGGGUUGAAUCCAAUACUCAGAACUUAUGAGCACUCAUGAUUGUUGUAGCCUUGUCCAACACCUUAGACCUCUACAACCCAUCAUGACAGUCUUAAUUCAUAUCUACUUCCAACAUAUGACCGACUGUGGAUGGUUUGAAUAACUUAGUCAUUCCGGAAGAAUAACCCAGUUUAUUCGGGAAGUCAAAACAUGCAAAGUGAAACACAAUAAUAAUUGAAUCCAAUAUGGUAUCAACCCUUUGAACAUAAAUAAAACACCUUUUAUUUAUCACCAUAUGAUUACACAUUAUUCAUUGUAUACUGUUUCAGCUAUCAACUUUAUUCUUGAAUUUAAAACAAUAGUUGUCCCAUGCUCCAAGCAUGUACACUAUGUUUUCUUAAACACUAGUCAUGCCACACACCAAGUAUGCAUACUAUGUUUGUCUAUGAUCUUUACUUUGUGAACUAGAUCAAUUGAACAUAACUUCAAUGAUUCUCUUUUCACACUCCCAAAUCCUUACUGCAAAUGCAAGAAUUCCAAAUUCAUGCCAUUUACUGAAAUCUGUUAGAUUCUAAACUUAUAUGCAUUGAUCCUCUUGUAAUGAUUAUGCACAAAGUCAGAAAGACUUGACAACAAUCAUUACAGAGUAUUCCAAAGGAGAUCAGCUCCUUGGAAACAUCCUUCUUGCAUUAAGUUUCCUAAUCUUAAACAGAUUGAAAAUUCUAACUUUGAAACAUUUCCAGAUUCCAUUUUGACUAUCACUUCUGAACAAGAGUUGCCUCCUUACAGAUUAUGUCAAUAUGGUCCUUCCAGAAUUAUCACUAUACUUCCAACUGUCCUUGAGCAACCAAUCUUUGGUAAACCUUAGAUUGUCCUCGACAAUUGUUUAAUCCUUUUAGUCAUAUCCAGUUCUAAACCUUUUCCCUUCUUAAUGCCCCAGGCAUUUGGAAAAUUUUAGAACGGAUGAAUAUAGCACAUGUAAUCGAUCCUAUAUCCGAAGCAUAUGGGACACGAUUCAUGAUGUCUUACAUAAAGACUAAACCAGUCUUUUGCUAUAAUAUUUCCAUUUCAAUUUGCCAAGUUCUCAUAAUUCAGAUUAUGAAAAGGGAUGCCGUAAUCAUAAUCGAAUUUUAGAACGCAAAUAAUGGACCCAUAUACAGAAUUUCCUUAUGUUGAGCCAUUCCAACAUGAAAUUCAUAUAUAUCCUUGACUAAAUGAUUAAAACCUCACGAUCUAAGCUUAUAGAUUUGAGAUGAAGUAUAAUUUCCUCUCCCUUAAUUAUAGCAAAACAACUUUUUCCCAAUUGAAACUUUUGUUUUCUAUAAUUAACAUUGCUAACUUGCAAUACUUAUCAUAAUUAUCAUGCUCCCACUAACAUGAUGAUUAUUAGCAUAACACUUAUGCUCCCACUAGCUUUGACAUGUACUCAGAAAUCAGCUGGACUUCUAGAAAUCAAUACUUCAUUGACUUUCUUACCAAAGUUCAGAUUUCUGAUGCUAGAUUGUUUUGAUAAAGCUUUAUCAAAAUCAUACACCUUCCCUUAGAUAGCACACUUGUGUAUCUAAACAAUUAUGAAGAGGGAUGCCGUAAUCAUAAUGUUUAGACCUUUUUGCCACUUCUCACAAGUCCAAAUUAGUGUGCCGGUUAACCACACGCGCUCCACUAACGACUUUGAGAAUGCAAAUAUCACAAUUGCUAUCUAGCUAAAAUCUACUUAGUGAAAGUGUUUCCUCACCAUCAUUUUCAUGAAUCGGAGAGAAACCUUAUGACACUUAGAUUUAAUGGUGUAUGUGUUCUUAUCCAUGUGAAUU